ACUAAACGGCCACUGCCUGAAAGGACUAUGCUAUGUCCAGGGGACCGCCGCCCUCCACAAGGUACAUCUUGCGCCUAUGGGCCGCUAUAACUAUCCAAGAAGACACUCGAAAAAGGAUGGAUAAACAAACCUACCCGGUGGACUGCCGAGCUACAAGUCCUACGACACAGGAGCGGGAUUCUCUAAAAAGCCAAGGUCGUGGGUGGCCAAGAGGGCCCACUUGGAGACUUGGGAUCUCAGCAGGAAAUGUGAAGGUUGCUUAAAGCCGGCCGAUAGGCGAAAGAGAAUCCAAAAGUUUUGUUCUGAUCUGAGUAGGCUCAACAUAGGGAAUACCCUAACCCUGGGAACCGGGGCAUAUAAAUCCGCUUAUGGCAUUCACCCAAGCAUACAGAGACAGAUGGAAUGGAAUGAAAGAAAGAAAAAGUAGCUCCGCAGCUCACCCAGAAGAAGAAAGACCCGCCGCUAACCUAACGAUUUGGAAAUCCCUGGUGGGCUGGGCCUGAAAGACAAGUGUGUGUGGAUUUCUACAUCCUCGUCUUUACUUUAAGACACAACUCUUCUCUUUCUCGGUCAAAUGACUUGCGAUAGUCUACCUUGAGUAGGACCAUAGGGAUCUUAUGUUUGUGGCGAAAGAUAAGUGGUUCUGUCACAACCAAUAAAGUUUCUAUGAGUGAGCGACCCACGCCGAUUGAUACGUGUCAAUGUCAAUAAGUGGAUGAGUGUUGUUAAAGACAAUGUUUGUUCCUCUUCUUUGAAACGAUUUUGAUGAAUCUCGAAAUGAUACUGAUUGGCCUGAAAUCCUCGACGGUGUUGGCAUCUUUUUUCUUUGGGAGGAGAGUGAUGGAUGCCUGGGUUAGCCUCCAAACAUAAAGGCCAUUGCUAUGAAAGAGCUGCAAGAGAGAAAGCAGUUGCGGGUGGAUGAUGUCCCAGAAGGCUUGGAUUACACAGAUUCUACCAGAGGAUGUUGAGAUGCUCCCAUUGCAACUCACUGAUGGAGAAGAACUGGAGAGCUCAGCUAGAGCUGGAGGAGGUGGUAGUACCAGUUCCCUACUGGUACCAGUGGUGGCUUGAUCACUUCAAAUUGGAGGGACUAUUGGGCCAAAUUCCCAUACUGUAAAAAAAAGGUUUUUUUUCUUCCUGGUGGUGGUUUUGUGUUUCGGUGAAUAAUAGGAAGAGGCCGCCAAGGCGCGGAGCGAUGAGUAUAGCCCAUUAGGAGUAGGAGAACCUGUUAAGAAAGCCGGAGCAGAAAUCCAAGCUUCUGGUAAUUUAUUCAAUUACUUGUACUUGAACUGUUUUUUCUUUCUUUGUUGAAUUAUUUAUUUCUCUUUUGGUAUGUUGGUUAUCUAAAAGCAUCUGUGACUUGUUUUAGUACUUUCGUCACAACUAUGGCAUUGGCAUGGGCCUUUGCUAAACUAGACUAUCAGAGCUCGAUCAUGGCAAACGAAGGAACUCAGACCCGAUCUAGACAACUUGAGGAGCAAGUUAGAGCUAUGAGAGAAUCCAUGGAUAAGAUCCAAGCAGAUCUAGCCGAACGGAUGCAACAACAGAGUGAAGAGUUUCAAGCUCAAAAACAAUUACAACAACAACAGUUUGAGAAGCAAGUAGUUGAGUCUAUUUUUUAAAUACAGAGAGAGGUUAGUGGCUUCAACCUCUCACAAAGAGGGAUAGAGGCAACACCUUUUGACGCCCUCCAAUUUAGACUCACACUGCAGGGGCAAUAGAACAAUUUAGAAUAUGCGGUAGUGUUAGUAGUUUUUUACAUCUAUUAGGCAUUUUUGCAAAUACAUGGAUUUUGUGUGUGUAACCAAGACAAUACACCUCAACGUCAUCUUAUCGAACACAUAAAGGGGACUGGCCUCUUUCACUAAGACAACAAUUAUGGCCGUGUAGAUGCAGUAUUCGAUGUUUCACAAAACAAAGACAGAGGAGGUUGUAAGAGAGACCUUGUCAGUGCGAAGGAGAGGAAAGGCGUGUCGAGAAGAAGACACCUGUCCGGAGAGGUGCAAAGGAGAGCCGCGAGAGGAAAUGCAAUUCUCGGGUGAGGGAAUGGGAGGCUAGCAACCUCGUUUGAAGCGGAUUUAAAAGCAGGGAAUUAUCAUUCGAGAAAUACUCCCCCUCUUGCAGCGAGAGCCCACUCCUACCUAAGGAAGGGGCUUGUAGAUCUAUAUUUGGAUUAAGGGGCGGUAUGGAUGGAAGAGCGCUUCUAUUCUAUUGGUAGGCAGUCGCUGGCCGAGGAGGCUGCUCUCUCUAUCUAGAAUGAAAAGAGGAGAGAAGUAGCACGCACUGGAGUGGGAGUGGUUCCAGUGCCGAAAUCGCCCUUUCUCUUAUUCGUACUAAACUAAGGGGGAGGAGGGCUUAUCUUAAUAUUCCAUCUUGUUUGUUAGCUGACAACUCCAUCCAUCUUGCUUGUGCUCAUUCUAUCACUAUCACUAUGGGGCUGGGGCACCACAUAUAUAAGCAUUGGGAGAUCGAUCUAAUUCUACCAAAGGCAAAAGAAAUGGGAAGCAAAGUGUUGGUUAUCUAGCUAGUAUAGAGAUGAUGCAGUAUCUUCUCUUCAUUGGCGAGACAAGCAAAGAAGUAGAUUCAAAAAAGCAAAGUCAAGCAAGCAGCAACAUUGGUGACUUUAUUGAGUCUUGUCCUAGUUGAUCUGGAAAUGCCCGAAGAAGCCUUUGACUCAUCCAAUGCUUAAUUGGUUGUCCUAAUUUCUUUCUUGAAAACAUGUACGAAAUGAAAGACUUAUGUGAAUAAGAUCCAAUUCUAUGAGAACAUUCACAAUUGAUCGAUAGCUCACAAGCUACCUGCUUAUAGGCGGGGCAUCAGUUGUAACAAACAGGGGAGUCAGGUAAGAAGAAUCAGCCUCGGAAAAGAAGAAUUCAGCGCUCAUAUCCUCGUUUCCAACAUGCAUUCGUAGGCAAGUUUAUAAGGUGGAGGAAGCAACUGUUUUGAAUCCUGCAAACAGAACGUUUGAAUCUGAUCAGUCUAUUGAUAAGUAAGCACUUGAGCCAGAGAGACAAGCAACUAUAGGUAUAAAUAAUUCAGCAGAAACUCUUGGUUUCAGUUCAGCAGUGUUUACGACGCAUUGAGCAGAAACGUUGAAAUAGAAGCAGAGUUUCUUUUCUGUUGGACUUUGUGCUUGCCUUUGAAGGAGGAAGAGUGUGGUGCCUGCAGAGAUAAGCUGUUGAGAUGCAGAAUGAAACCAGAAAUGCCUUUGUUGAGAAGCUUGUUCAUUAUCCUUUUCAGUUGUUCAGUGUACGCGUCCUGAGAUGUGCAAUCCUUUAAUGAGAGGAGAGUAUCAUCUUCUAAGGUAAUGAGAAAUUCUCUGGUCUUCAAAUUGAGGGCAAAUGGGCUAUGUUUAUAGAGCCAAUCAUGACAUCGUAUUCUUUCAAGUCCAGGACUCUAAGGUUGUUGUUGAAGGCAUGUUUCUGAAUAGAGAAUGCAGUGUCUGCUAUGAUUGCCCCAGAUGUAAGUUGGCCUCCCCCAGCCACAGCUAUUUUAGCCGAAUUUUUGGAUAUGGCAAGUGGUUUUAACUGCGAAAGACAAAUCAAUGAAUGUACUUGAACUGCCGGUAUCAAUAAGGGCAAUGCCUGUUUGUCCACCAACAGUGACCUUGACUUAAAAUGUGCCAGCAGUGACCAGCCCUGAAACUGCAUGAGCCGAAAUAUGCAUGAGAUACUCAUUUGGAGGGGAGUCCUGAUCCUGUGGGAUUUCAUUUCUUCUUCUUCUUGUACUGCAAUCUCUUCUGUGGCAUCAUUUGGUGUGUAAGUUUCCUGCAUGACAUUGCAUUGAUAGUAGGGAUUAACUUGCAUUUGUGACCGGGGACCCAUUUCUCACCACAUCUCCAGCAUUCACCAGCUUUUCUAGCUCUCUGUUGUUGCACUUGGGGAGCCGCACCGCAGGUUGUUCUUUAGUUUUGUCUGGUGUGGUGGUAGCAGGUUCUGCACAAAAGGAGAGUUCUGUAUGGAGCAGCAGUGAUUUGUCUCUGAUAUGAAGAAAACUGUUUCUUAGGUGGGGCACUGCGUUCCAUGUCUUUGGCCUGCCAGUACGCAUCAGUCAGGGACUCUGGAUGGAGAGGCCUGAGUUGGUGUUUGAUGUCAUGACGAAGGCCGUUGACAAAGCAUUUUACAAACCACUCUUCGGUUAGCUCUGGUGUAUCUUGUUUCAACAUAGUCAUGAAAUCUUCAAACUUAUCAAUAUAAGCAUUGACUGUCAUGUUGUCUUGUUUCAGUGCAUUGAAAGUUUCAGCAACUUCAUAGGGACUGUAUGCAGAGAAACGAUGAGUAAUCAUGCGACAGAAAUCUGACCAAGAGGAAUCUUGCCCAGUGGUCUAAUAUGAAUAAGAAAUGGCAGCUAUAACAGAGAUUUUUCUCAAUCGCUCAGCUUGAAGGUAGGUCCUUGUCACUAGAACGAAAUGCAAGGGUUGGUGGAUCGGUGAUUUCUGAUAAUACAAGCAAGGACACACCUCUGGCUGUAUCUUGUGAGCCAGCCCUUACCGAAGGCAUGAUGGAGUGAAAGAUCGGGACUCUUGGCUAUCAAAAGAGCGAGCCGAAGUAAAUUCGACAAGAAAGCUAUCCGAUGUAUAUUCGUUGGAUAUGAUAAUGAGCGAAAAUGGUGGAAGGUUUCACUCCAGCAGGGGCCGCCGUUCCGGACCCAACCCAACAGAGGCAGGGGUAAUUCUUUGCAGUCUAAUGAGGCUGGGACAAGCUUUGCUUUUGUACUGGUUUGGUUGAAACUGAGGAUUUGGUAUAGCAAAGACCGUCACCAUCCCAAUAGAGGGCUCCAGAGAACACUCUAAAAGGGGAGCAUGUGGUCAACCACCAAGAAUCUAGCAGUGGGCCUAGCUUCGUACCAUGAUCAAUUCACUCUCUCUCGAAUCUUCAGCAUCCAUUGCGCUUCUUUCUUGUGUUGACCGAAAAAAGCUCGGUAUGAUUCAAUACAUUCUAGGAACCUGGGGCAGUGAAUCGAUGAAUUGGAGGACAGACCGCUUUUACUAGUUAUUCUUGCAGGGGUCUUGGGCAAUCAAGACCAGCCAGUGACUCAAUGAGGAAGGGAGAGUGGGAUAGCUACAAGCGAUCCAGGGAGUCUUCCGUAAGACAAGAUCGACUUCCUUUUGCACCUGUUCCAUUUGUUGAAUGAAAUACCCCCUUCCUACGGUGAGUGUUGGGUGAGGGAAGGGAUAUUUUGAUUGAAGAGCUCGCUUUGUCGAAAUCCCUAUAAUGAAUAGCAUUUGCUGCUGCCGAAUAAACCAACUUUAAGAUGGGAUAAGAUGCUCAAUAAGGCAUGAGGGUCAGUAUCAUAACGGUUUCCUCCUAGUAAGGCCACUCAUCAAGAACUCUUUUUUCUAUCCAACCAGUCAAGACAGACUCACAUUGAGCGUAGGUCUCAACCCCUUACCUUUCGCCAUGCGCUGAAUUCCAAUUCCAAUCAGUUGACACUUUGCACAAGAACUAGCAAGAAAUGAAAUGAUAAGAAAAACCAUAUCACCUUGCGACGUCUACUUUCAUUUGAAUAGGAACAUAGGCAUCCCGCGUGGGGGAAAACCCUAUCCCCCAUCUUUCACUUCCCCUUUAGAUGAGAAGCCGAAGGUGGCUAUCAAUAUGGCACCUCGAAGAGCAUAAAAGCAAUGAGCCCGAAGCCUGAAACCUGAAACCAUAGAUUGAACACUCAAAGAGGAUCAACCUAGUCAAUAGAUUGAGACACAACCUGCUUACUCACCUAGGGUCGGUCCGGCUCCGCCUACUACUCCUAUCCUACUUAUCCUUUUUUUUAAGCUAGAAACAGAGCAAUAGCCAUACAAUGGAGAGCAUAACCUAAAGGAAAGGGGUGGGUCGAAGGAUAACUAAAGGUGACAAGUCGAUCUAUUUUUGAGAGAAGAGCUAGAGCAGUUGACAGCUCACUAAGGAGUCUGUCUCGUCUAGUAGAGCUAUUAUCCAAUGGGUCACCAGAGUAGAGAUGACCUUUUAACCAUAGCAUCUGACUGUAUAAAAUGGCAAGGUGUUUGUUAGUGCUUCCCUUUCUUUAUCUAGCAAGAUAUCAAUAAGGCUGAUGGCUAACCAGAGAAUCAUUGCCAUAGGGUUCUCGAGAGUCAACCCUGUCUGGCCUACAAGCUUUUGGAGUUAGAGAAUGUACACUCUAUGAGGUGUAAACUGAUGUAGAGGAUCCAGACAAACAAUACCCUUGAAGAGUUUUAUGAGCAUAGUCAUCGAACUUCACUAUACUAUUAGGUUUGUCAUGACAUCUUCCCUCUUCAAAAGACUAUUUUUAAGAAUGAAUCAGGGUUUUUGCGCUCCUUGGAAUCAGGCCUAUACGUAGUGUAUGUAAGCCGCCUGCUGCUGCUAAAGCAAGGUAUGAGGGUUAAAGUAAGCGAUGCACAUCUUGAUAUACUCAAUUAAGUAAGACUAUCUUAUCUAGUUCUGUUUAUGCGUCUAGUGAGCAUUGAACUCCUUUGACAAGCGCAAUGCUUCUUUAUCGAUCAGUUAGACGCUUUAUACCAGGUUAAAGCUGAAGUGACGAUACCAGUGCCUGCCGAACUUCCAAGCCCUCAAAUAUCGAGGAUAUGGUGUGCCCCGUUACCUUAUUUCUAGGUGUAAUAAAGGCUCUCCCCCGACUAGAAGGAUCCAGGGACAACGGCUAUUUCCUCCUAAAAUAUUGGCAGUAGCCGAAACGACUGGAAACCCAGGUAGCGGUCCGGAAAGGGCAAAAGGGCAAGGUGAGUAGUGAAAGCAAGAACGUUCUUUCGCAUAUAGAGCGACUGCCCAAGCCCUGAUUCAGGGUUACUGGUCCACACCAACUGAUCAGGUAUCGGAUAAUAGGGAAUAUUUGUUUCAGCCGUGGUCCAGUCCAGCAGCCUCUUUUCGAUCCAAGAGUCGCAUGAGAAGAAAGCUUCCGGUUAGCUUCAGUUAGUGUUAGUUAAAUAGAACGGGAACCUCGUAACUAUGCCAAGCCAAGCCCGAUCUUGGUUCCAAUGCUGCAGAGAAAGGUUAUGGGUAAAAAGAAGGUCUUUAUCCUGGUGCUGCGGAGACCGGUGUUGCUGAUCGAACUCAUUUUCUUUCGAGGAGAUCGAAAAUCUCUGAAUUUCUGCGAAACGAAUUGACAUAUUUAUUGCGAGUUGAAAAGCGAAAGGAUGAAGACAGAUUUAGAUCCUCUGAAAGCGCAGGAAGUAUGCCUUUUGAGCUUUUUCUCCACCCACCUCUGAGCAUCCUGUUGGAAUGGUCCUAGGAAAGACUACGUACGAGAAAUCAUUCUCACAGCCAACUUUCCUUCUUCUGAGCAAAUAAAUGUAGUAUUUAGUCCAACCAAUCAUUGGUGAAUCUCUUGUAUGUCUUUCGUGAAAAGUGGAGUAUUUGUGCCCAAGAUCUUUCUAUCCCCUUUAGUAGGUGCACACAUCUCGUAUGGUAAAUAUACCAUUGUGCCCUAUAAGGUAAGAUUGAUUGACGGAGUCAAGAGAUGGGGAUCUUGGUUUAGCAGCGGCUGCCUGUCCUUUUCUUUCGUGAAAGGUAUGAUCUAGAGUGUGAUUCUGAUCCCGUGAUUGGGUGCUUGGCGUAGAAUGAGUGGAGCAUACUAGGAAUGCCGAAUGCUCGCUCAGUGAGGGAGCUCUGUUGGAGAAGAGUGGGACUAGAAAGAUGGAAUACCCAUGUAAGGCCAAUAGUUGAGGUACCUGGAUCCAGACAAAACUCCCUUUCAUUGAAACGAGUACUCCACAUCUUAGGGUCCCAGCCAGCCUAUGAGCAAAGCUAGGAAAGCAUUCUUCUUCUUUCCUCAGGAUGAAAUAAUUCGGUGAAACUAUUAUUCUAAUAAGGCCAGCCCUAUCUAGAUCCCGUAGCUUUCUUUUCUAGAGAACUUCAUCUUUAAGCUUGGCUCCCUGGAGUGUUCGACGUCAAACUAGCUACUCUGCUGUUCGGAACUCACUAUUCGUUUGGGCUAUGGCUCUCAGCUUGAAAAGAAGAAUGAAAUUAGGGCAGGCGGGGCUCUCUAUUAAUUGGGAACACUUCAUUCUGCUGGCUACCUUGCAUCAAAGAAAACUUCCUUGCUGGCUGCACUCCGCGCACUUCAAGGAGUAAGUAUACGCUUCCUUCGGUCGAAGCAAUAAGGUCUGUUUCACUGUUGGACUCGAAGUAUCAUGGGCUCUUUCCCAUCUAACAUAUGUGUGCUCCGGACAAACACUUGUUUUCAUCGUUGAUCUCCUAAUCCUACUGGGAACUCUUAGUAGGUGGUAGCUCAUCUAAUCCUUUAGCUUCGCAGGCUUUCGUUUCUCUCUUUCGGUAAAACCUAUUCCAAUUCUCGUAAAUAGUAUGUAUUCGCUGAUAUCGAAAUCAGGGUUUUCCGCUUUGGAUCGCUGCGCUGGGUGGAGAAGAGGAAUCAACGAUAAAUCCAGGAAAGAGCUGCGAAAGAAAAGCGUGACGAGCAAAGUCAAGUCUGCCUUUCUAUUUCUUCUUUAUCCGCUUUGAGAUAUAGUUGCCUUCCUUGGCAAGGGAUUUUUCACCCAGUCACUGUAGUUAGGAAAAAGAAGCUAGUGAACGUGGAACUCCAUCCUCUUUUCCAGGCGGGACAGAGAGAGUGGAUUGGCUUUUUCCUCCCAUCCCAAAUAAAGAAGACUUUGAGGAAGGUUCACCUUGUAUCAAAAGCAAGUCAGAAUAGUUUCUAUUCCUAGUCAAGAUUCACUCUUUCUUUGCAUGAAGGCUUUGAAUAUAAACAGCACUCUGUCACGAUUCGUGGGAUUUGAACUAUUAGAAAAGUCCGUCCGUGUGCCAAACCCAGAUCAAGUACUGUACAUCAGGAUCCCCCCAGCAUAAACACUAGAGAACGACUGUGGUUAUCCUCACAAGGGGAACAAGCAACGGGUCGAUUGCACAUCUAAUGAAAAUCUAUGAUAUUCCUAUCUUUUGUCAUUUGAAAUGAAAUUCAAUGAUUUCGAUCAACUUAUCUGGGAAUCUGUCAUUCCAUUUGUUCCACUUUCGUUUUACUGAAAUAACUCACUUGAGUUGAAGUAAGUCAACACCUUUCAGUUGAGCAACUGUCUUUAGAGAGGGAAUAACCAGCGUUUUAGCGAUAAUCUAACAAAAUCAUCAGUGAAAAGAGAAUCAAGCCGACUUCGAACAGCUAAAAUCCAAUUCCCCACGGAUCGUAAUCGCUUUCCCAUGCUUUUUUACUUGUUGCCCAAGCUAGCUUAGCUUACUACAGCUACUGAUACGGCAACUCAAGCUACUAAUCUAAUAUAUGUCUUUGAUUCUUGUCUUUCAUGCUUCGCCGCUGGGAUUCAUACCACGGAAGCGACUACUACUUAUAGCUAGAAAAGGGAAUUCAAGGUGGUAAUUAAUACUCCUAAAAAAGGCUACUCACUACUACUGGGCCACUAGCUUUUAUUCCUAUACCUGACUGGCUAAUCUGAGGGAUACGGCAUGGCAAGCAAGCAAACUUAUAGGCAAGCCGGUAAACUACUAGGAAAUCGGAAAAUCUUUCUUUUACUACUUUUUCUGAUAACACUCUCGAAGCGAGCAAGCACUACUUGCAACCUGAUAUCUAUCUUUCAAUCUUAUUACCUGCCUGAAAGUCUUAUAGCAAGCAACUUAUCUUAUUACUGUCUUUCCUAAUACUCUAGGUAAUAGCAACUCAGAUUCGCUUCCUCUAUUUCUUCUAUCUCUUAAUCUGUAUAAGAGAGAACCCCUUGGUAAAAGUAUAGAAACUGCAUAUCAGCUUACGACUAGAAUUCUUAUUUGUUACCGCGCUCCAAGCUACUGAACAUAAAAGCUAUAAGCAUGAAAUCAAUCUGCUAAGCAAGCUUACUACUUAUUAACUUGAAACCGGAUAGCUGACCUUUAUUCCUAUAAUCGAGUGGAGUUCUUCUAUCUGACUCCAAACCGGGUACGCCAAGCUCCAUACAGUAGAUACGAGCCGGUAAACUACAAUCUGGUAUUCUUAACUCCGACUUUGAAACUGCUAGCUGGUAAAAAGAAUGAAGGACCAUAAUUAAUGCUAUCGAGGCCCCAAGUCAAGCAACAAAGCUUCUAGCCGAUAGAAAGAAUGGGUACGAGCCUAUCUUGCUAAGACAAGGGAAACUCUAGCUGCACUUACUCCUUGGUCAGUAUAAACUACAUGGCUUACGAGAAGCUGCUCUUCAAACUCACAGCCAACUUGGAGUCAGAUUUCCAGCCGCUUAUAAACGGCAUAGAGAAGUAGGAGCCUCGCAUACAACCUGAACUCUGGUAUCAAGCCUGCCAACUCAAUUCUAUCUGGGUAAAAGGGCAAUAUACGAAAGGAAGGAUCGAUAACUGAUUUAUGGCUUUCAACCUGCUAACUUAGCAUCUUAUUUCUUUCUCCCAAUCUGGUAUCGACUAAUAAAGCGCGCCUUCUAACUCAUAUCUGUCUUGCUAUCUUCCAUCUAAUACCAGUGAAACGACAACUCCUGAUAGACCUUCUGAUACGACAACUGCGACUUGCAGUUUGAUAUCCGGCUUGAACUGUUCUAUCUGGCUUUCUAUCUCAUAUCCGCAAUUAAGAAUUCAAAGCAGUAAUUAAAGUAUGGAUACGAUGGCUUUGCCUUGCGUUCUUCAAUCAUGGCUUUCAAGUCUGAUAACCGCAAUUAGGAAUUCAAAGCACUCUCGAGGCGAGCACAAGCAAUCUGAUAGAGGAGCUACUAAUACUAUAGAUAGGAAACGCCUAAGCAAGUAUGAUACGAGAAAGCAAUUCUAUCUUUGACUGGUUUUUCAAACUGAUAACUGCAAUUCAACUCCCGGCAACUACAAACCACUAAUCUUAUUCCUUACUUCAAUUCUUGUACCAAGCCUACUUAAUUUCCAAUCUCACUACUUCCUUUUCAACUUCUAACUUAUAUGAUUGAUACGAAAAGCGGACUUGAAAACUUAAAUUAACAAGGCACGACAACUACAGCUACAAACUCGAAUGCAAAAGCCGAUACUACUACUCAAUUCACUCAGCUUACGACUCUUAUUCAUGGCUUUAAAUCGUAUAAGCACUAAGUCAAACUAGGGAAAACUUGCAAGCUUAACUUGAACUGCUAAAACUGAAUAGGCCGAUACGAGAACUCAAUACACUAUCGAAACUAACACUGCUGGGUAAAACAAUAGAAACUACUGCUCGGCUACUCCCUAAUACCAGAGAAAUGGCAUCACGGCUUGCAGCUCUUCUUGCUAAAACAGAUGAAACUACUACUCCGGAAACGAAUACUCAAUCUUCAACCAAAGCUUCAAAUCUGAUAACUGCAAUUCAACUAUCUGACUCGCAUUCUUACUCUCACUGAUAAAAGUAUGUAGACGACAAGAAGGAACUAGCCUUAUUUGCCACUUUCAACCAGCCUCGCGUUCUUCAAUUAAUACCACGUAACCGAGCAAUCAAGCCUACAAUUCAAACUAGAAAACAACAGCUCGAAUACGAAGAUUUAUAAGCGAAAGCGAGAGUUAACAUCUUCCUUGAGCUAUGGAAACAACUGCCUAACGAAAAACCUUAUUCACUGACUUUAUAUCUGCUAACAGCGAUUACUACUACCGCUCUCGAAGCGAAUACUCAACUGCCAAUCUCAUUUAUGCCUCUUAAUAAACUAGCUGGUAUUCUGAUAAUCGACUUUCAGUCUUCCUUGCAGGCAGGCUUUGUAAAGCACUACGGAUACGCCCUUAUUAAUACAAUUGAUAGGACUUAUUUACUUGUUUUGUAUGGUUAUUUGUCCCUUCUUUCUAUUGCUAAAGGUUAGUUUUGAUUCCUCUCUCUAUCGUACUCUUAUUCCUCUAAUCCACUUACAAUCUGAUAGUUGCUAUGGAGCCUGAGCUCAGACGUAGAUAGGGCAUCACGGCUAGAAUUCUUCUUUAUGAGUCCAAUUCUUACUUCUUCCUUUCGAGUCUUAUAUCGUACUGCAAUUAUGAUAGCUGCUCUACUAAUACGAGAGGUAGGCAUUUAUAAUAGUAUUUAUACGAAAAAGAGGCUUUGCAGAAAGAACUAUAACUAGAGAAGGUCAAACUGCAAACUAAAAAUAAAACUGUAGAAACGACAGAGCGGCUGUCAAACCUUAUUUGCUUACUCGUCUGCUUACUACAAGCAAACUGAUUUAUGAGUUGCAACCUUACUUAUGACUUGUAUUCUUCUUGCUGAGAAAGAGAGUUCAAAGCUGCAAUUGCUCAUGCCUCUAAGCCCAUCCUUUUUUAGGCUUCUUUGGGAAUCCCCUUUCCAAUCAGAUAGAUUUCGAGAUAGAUUCACUCCAGUGUGGUGUCCCGGCUCUGAUACGCUUCCUUUAUACGAUCUCAGAGUAGCUUUAACCUUUAAUAGAGGAGUGAACCCACAUGGGAGAAGAGAGGAGUAGUAUGGGAGAGAGUCGUAGUUCAGAAUAAUCCCUGUAUCAUAACAAUAUUUCUGUAUCGAGUGAGUAGCUUGGAUUGAAUUCCUCUUAGAGUUUCCAUUCCUAUAGGUGGGCCUAAGGUUGGGUAGUUUGUAUUCCUCUCCCGCAUUGAGAGAGAUUCCAACUCCUAUAGAGAAAUACUCAAUAAAGUACUUGGCAAAUAGUAAAGUCUUCGGAGGAUGCGUGUCAAUAGAAUUCGGAAAUGCAGCAAUAAUAGGACCAACUGGACCAGAAAGUCAGAUAUACUGUUGCAAACUACUGAUCUAGUCAGGAUUUAGAAAGGUCGAUGAAUGGAACCUUGUAGAACUAUACUCCCCAGAAAAAAGGAAACUAUUUACGGGUUUCAACCCUCAUGACAAAAACAAAAAAUUGAAACAUCAACACCACCAACCCCAUCUAACGCUUGAUCGAAGUAGGCAUUGGCUGACUGACCUGACUUCGAUUCUGUAAUGAACUUACUCAAACAGGAAUCGCUGCUUACGAUCUUCAUUCGGCACUUCCUUUCUAUGUUGCUAAUACUACUUAAACUACAAGCAGAUUCGCUGACUUGCAUUCUGAUGUCCGACUGGAAAGCUUAUACCUGAUAAAUAGAAUGAUACGUAUUCAGCGGCAACUCCACUUUCAAUCUGGUAUCCGGCUUGAAUUCUGGUAUUCUCCUUGGAUUCCUCUAAAGGGCAUACAAACUUCUAAGUAGAACGGAAACCUGAUAGCUGACCUACAUUCUUCACUUCGUACUUGAAAGCUUGCCACAGCUAUUAAUACUAUCGAGACGCCAAGUCAAGCUUAAAUACUACUUUCAGUUCUGAUAACUUAGUGGCUAAAACAAGGGAAACUACUGCUUAAUACAAGAGUUAAUACCCCUACUACUAAUGCUUGUCUUGAAACCUUAUUUGCUUACUCGUCUGCUUACUAAAAGACAGAGAGCCGAGAAGCUUAAUCACAGCUUUUAUUCUUCUUACUGGACUUGAGUUCUUCUAUUCUAUCUUGAUAAAACUAUGUAAACGAUAAGUAAGCUUACGGCAUAACUUCUUGUAUUCCGAUAGCUGGCUUACUUACUUAUAUGGGAGCAGCUAAUACAAUAUAAACAACAAAGAAAUAUCACGGCUACAAAUCGAAAUUCCUACUUUCAAUCUGCUUGCAAGAAUUGUAGCUGCUUCGGAUACGACUAAUGCUUGCUAAUACUCUUGAAAACUAGAAUCACGACUAGAAUUCCUAUUUGUUACUCUAAAUCUGUAAUUCACUGCUAAGACUGCUGAUACGACAGCUCCAUACCAGGGACACGCCUAAUCUAAUACUGAUAAGUGAGUUUCAAUCUUAUAUCCGGUAAGCGAGUAGCAAGCUUGAACUCUUCCUGCUAAAACUACUGCAACUACUUAGCAAUGAUGGAAUUCAGAGAACUAGCUGUAAUUCUGCUUUCUUCCUGUCAGUCUUAUAGCAAGAAAGCAAUCUGCUAACUUCAAUUAACACUGUUUAAACGACAAGUCAGCUCUAUCUUGUAAGCCUCUGUAUACGAGAAGCAAGCAACUAAUUCUGCUAACAACUGCGGAAACUCAUUUUCGAAAGGGGAUUUCCUUAUUUACUUUAUUUCAUUUUAUUUCAUUUAAUAGAAGAGCUGCUUCUUGAAGUGAAUGAUCGGAAUUCAGAGACCAUAGAGAAUAAUCAAAUAGCGAAGGCCAAAUAGAGAGUAAAGGAAAACAAUGUGCUAACAGAAGCACAGGGAAAAGCAUUCACAGAUAGCCCAGAACAUAGGCAUUGAGUCUAGUAAAUAAAGUAGUGGAAACGGGCUAGCCAAAAGAAGGUACUAGUAAAGAUCAGUCACACGGGAUUCGUUUUUCAUAGACGAAUAGGCUUUCGAGAGCAAAGGCCUUCCUUGGGCAAACUAGUUUCUCAAUCAAUGCUUAUUCGCUUAUUUGUCACAAUAACAUACAACACGUUAACCGAGUACUAAUAACGUAAUUCCGUAUCCUUGUUGUUCAAGGAAUAAAAGGAAGAAGAUCUUAAACAAAAUCCACAACUAAAGAUAGUACUACUAGGCAGACAGGGACCCGCCUGACUAUUUCGUUUUCUUCACAGAAAAGAUGGGAUAAGCUUUUGAAUUCAAGCGCAGGGAGAACUACCAACAAGCACUUCAGAAACUCCAACUUACUCGGCAUCUACUGAACAUCACUUCUAUAUCUACUGAACAUCACUUCUAUGCUGAUCUUUCCUCUCUACCUAUACAACUGAAGUUUCCAGCUUUCCAGCAAGGUAUUGGGAUAGUUCACUCAGAUUUUGAGAUGGUUUUUGGGCAAGUGUUUAAAGACGGAACCUGGCCCAGUGUGACUUCAGGUAAAGUAUGGCUGCCUUGUAGGACAGGAGUUUACUUAGCUGCAUGCAUUCAUUGCAGACCUGGCUGCAAGCAUCCAUAGAUAGCUGCCGAAGGUACUUGUCUUAUCACUCUUUGGCAAUCGAAUUGACAGUGCAUGUGUGGAAAAGAGAGCUAGUGGAUUCCUUCUCGUUGUUUAGUCUGGAAAUACACCAAUAGCAACACAGAAUGCUAUUACGAUACCUAAACUAACCCCUACUCUCCAUUUUCUGUCUAUAUUAUCCAUAGGUAUUUGUAUUGCUGGUUCCUCUGGUGGUAUGACCUCUUUCAACAUAGCCAUAUUGUUAAAACUAUUCUCAUCAAAGGUAAAAGGAGUAUCUCCCCGGAUUGACAUCACUAUAUCUGAUAUAUCUUGAGUUUCCUGCAGUGUUAUCUUAGUAUACCCUUGUACAAUAGCACUCUCAUUGAGAAAGUAAUCCCACGACAUAUAAAGCAGUUGAUCUGGUUGAAUAUCUAUAUUACAAGGUAUAAACUUGUACCAAACUGUAGUGUAAAAACCAACUCUGACAAGUGCGAAAAUACUACCAUAUACAGUAUUGAUUCCUCCAUCCAUAGAUGAUUGAUAUAGUUGUCAUUUUUAUCAAACAAUUGGUUAAAUUAUUGGAUAUGAAAAAAUAUUUCUUUGAUAAUGCACUUUUAUAGGCUGGCCAUAACACUGUUUCUAACCACUUAUUACCAUCAUCUAUCCCGGGUGUAAAUUGUUUUAAAGAUAGCAAAUCUUUCCAAGAAUCAAACUUCCAUUUAUUUAAUGUUGCGUUAAAACUGACAAUAGGAGAUGUCCAAAGAUAAUUUGCACCCAGGAUCAUAAACUUCAUAUGAUAUUUGAUGAAUGAAAUCUUUAUUAGUUAAUGAAUCCAUAUAUAACUUACUAUGAUAUGCUAGUUGAUCAUUUAACGAUUUGAAUAUAUACGGGCCAUUAGAGAAAAUCUCAUUAGAGAUAAUAUCAUUUGAUCUAUUAGAAAUACUAUUAUUAGAUAAUAACUUCUUAUAUAAACCCACUACUUUCCACAAUAAUGUUCUAUUUACAGAUUCCACUGAUGUACUACAUUCAAUAUCCGGUACUUGGAAUAUAUUAGAUACACCUCUCUUGUCAAAUACAAACUUUUCGAACUUACAAUACAAAUCCCUCAUACGGUUGAAAUCGGUUGUCAUGAUUGCUAUACUUUAUUAAAUUAAUAUUUGAAGGUUGGUGGGGAUUUCCAUUUUUUAGAGUUGAAACUCCUACCCUAGUGCUCAAUACUGUAGUGGUAGAGAGCUAUUUUAUCCCUAGUAUACUUUGUACGUACGGCUAGAGAUUGAAGGGAAUCAACUUAGUAAGCAUAUGCCUACUUUCUAUGUGAGUUAAUCACGUGAACAGAUAGUAUCAACAGAGAAGUCACAUAAGCACCUUCCAAUCGAACUUCUUUUGCUAAUUAACAAGAGACCAGACAAUACAAUAGCUCUUUUCAUUUCCUAUAAUAUAAUACUGUACUUUAUACGCUCCUAUAAUACUUAUAUGCAGAGAAACCCUAUACGCAGAGAAACCCUUUCUUACUUAUGCAGAGAAACCCUAUACGCAGAGAAACCUUCUCUUACUCGAAACCCUCUCUUCCCCGAAGACAGUCUUCCUCGCCAACCCAUAGAUAGGCGCUUUCCUAUAUUAUAUAUAUGGAUUCGUUCCCGGAGCCAGAGCGGAUUCCAUGAAUUGACGUAUAUGCUAUGAGCGUAGUUAUCAAUCAGGUACGCCGGUAGCAAGAUUCCAUCCCAUCCCUGAGGAUAGUGAUUUCUGGUAUAGAGUAUUUAUAGAAAACUCGUAUCAAAAAUAUCAUACCAAAAAGAAAGAAGAGAUAAAUGAGCCUUGUUUCCCGAGAGAGACCGCCAUCUCUCAGGACUGCAGUCUUAUAGUCGACAGCUCUAUGUGGAGUUUUACAAGCCACCACUCUGGACCGUGGUCUUAGCUCUCACACCGAGAAAGCCUGCCUUCCCCCCAGAAGAAAGUCUUUCUCUCCCUCGUUUCGUUGUUAAAGAGAAAACAAUUGGAUGCUAGUUUGAGGUGAGACUAGUAUCUCAAGUAACUCAAAAUAUCUCUGCUCAGUAACGUAACGAUCUUCCUCAUCUAAUAAACAUCCUUAAGGUGUGCUCUACCAGCUGAUUGGCUAAGGCAAAUCUUCCCCUCGAAUAUAUUACCAUCAACGUAUAAAUGGGAUGAAAGGAUUAUCCCGAUAUUUAUCAAUAUCAUUCCGGAAAUAUAGAUCACCUUCUAAAAAUUUAGCGCACACAUGAUGCAUAUAUGUGACGCUAAGUGCAAAUAGUACUUUCUUUCCCAAGUCAGCAUUAUCCAUCACUGACUGAUUUUUAUAUGGUGACGAAACCGUCAAAGAUGGGAAAUUCAAAACGUAUUGAAGCCUGACGUCCUUGCUAAUUAUAUUAUACAUUACAUCUACUAUAUUGGUAUGAAAUAGGUUGGCAUGAAAGAACUCCAGAAUAAAAGGCCAAUCAGAAUUAUUUUUAUUUCUCGCUCGAACGAACUCUCUGAAUUCUUGUGUAUAAACACAAGGAUCAUUCAUUUCACAAAAUGUUUUAUAGUUCUCUAUAACUGUCCAAAUACUAUCAUUCUCUUUGCUCCCAUUAAGCCACCAUAGUUCACACAUUUUUCCAUCAAUGAUUUUGAAGAUAGCUCUUACUUUUCUAUUAUCUUCAUGAAAAUCGACACCAUCAGCGAUAAUAUCAAUAUAGGUUCGAUUGGUUGGGUGAGAAUCAAUCAAAGGGGUUUUCAUUCCAUCACCGUAUAAACCUGCCCAAACUAAAUUCUCCCACAUGAGAGAACAAUCAUCUUCGUCUCCGAAGUAGGGAUCAGCACUGAUUGUGUUACCGCAGCCUAUUAAAACAUGAGGGAUUUCGCUGUAUUGUUCGAUAUCUUCUAUACCCCCGACGGAGUUUACAUGAUAAACGUUUACCGCAUAAUGGAAGGCUACUUGUUUAUUUAUCAUUUCCCUCCGUCGAUCUAUAUUUUCAGUUACUAUUUUCAUUUGUUUGGCUAGCUCAACAAAAUCAACAUUAGGUGAUACCGUGCUAAACCUUCUAUCCCCUGGAUCCAUCCCUCCAGGGGGUCAGCGCAUCUGUUUUGGGUACAGAGGGCCAUAGGUUCGAAUCCUGUCACCUUGAUGUGGUAUUCACAGGGGCCGAAGUGCAAAGCCCCGUAGCCUAUCCGUGGUCGGGAAGGCAGGCGAAAAGCACGCACCAAAAAAAAAGAAAGCUAUAAUUUUCUUUUUUUCUUUUCUUCUUUGUAGUACACGAGUGAAAUUGGUUACGGUGGUACACCUGUGAAAUAUAUAAAUGUUAUGGUUGUACACGAGUUCCUUAUAUUAUAGGUGUUUAAGACCGAUUACGUCGGUUACACGAGCGGUAGUACAGCGAAAAUGUUUUUCAAUUUCACUUAGCUUGGUUACAAGCCUGGUAGGUACUACAGCGGAAAUACAGUUGGUUUCACGUUAAUUAGGUUAUCUUGGUGGCAAACAAGUGCCUGGUAGGUUAGGUACUACGACUGAAAUGGUUUAUGAUGGCACAUACAGUACAUUUAAGCUGUAGUACGUGGGCCUACUGUGGUAUUGGAUGUAUUGGUUGUUGCCGAGUCUAUGCUCGACCGCGCUCCCUCUCAGAAUAGAGAUCACGUUUCCCUUUACCCACCCAGAAUCUGAAGUGAGUGUGGAAUCUAUUCUGCCUAUUGGCAGAUGGCUCUCUAUUAUCUUUCUCUGGGUCCCCAUUAUAUUAAUAAAUAUGAGUGUCAGGCUUGCUGUACUGAAUCUCUUUAUAGUCUACCUGUCAAGCCCAAGAUAAGGGCAAGGGCAAAGCUCCAAUAGAGCACUCGGGUCUGCCCCCUGAAAUAGUUCUUGACGGCUCAGACUAUUUUCUAGAUCCGCCACUUAGCCCUGAGGAGGGUGCCUACUCGACCCAGUCAGGUACUACUCCACCGCCGGCCCCGAGUCACUCCGCAGGGGGCGGGGCUGCACCUUCUUCAAUUUCUCCUGCAGAUGAGGGGGAACCAGGGAGUCCACCACGUCCUUUCGGGUCUCUGACUCUGAGUAGCAGGGAUCUCAUAUUUCAUAAUUUGAGUUUGCAGUAUCUGGAAAGGACCAGGAGCCCAGAGGAACUUCUCAAAUUAACUAAUAAAAUCUAUGAAGGGAAGCAAUCCGUACUUUCAGAGCUUAGGCGUUUAGCUGGCCCUUUCCAUGGCCAAAUCAAUCCUGUUCCAGGAUAUGGAUAGUGCGGGCAAUGCAAUACGAAACCCCCAAACCAAUUGUGAGUAUAAUCCUAAAAUGUUUCAAAGGAUCCUUCUUGACUUGCAGCUGGAAGGGAUCCAGAGUAAAUAUUAUAGCCAAUUCGUAAAUCAAAGGGUGGAUAGCAUCCCAAAAGAAUCCUGGAAUAAUUUAAGGAUUGAUGAAUUACCUUUAAACCAAUUCAAUCAAGAAAAGUUCCUGCUUUUGGGCUGCUUUGUGAGUUGGUUCCACUGGCGUAACUACCCCCGGAGGGCGAUGCGGGGCGAGGCUGGGGGCAGCCGACUCAAUCCUUCCAAAUCACUAGAAGGCAAGUUCAUUCCUCUUGUGUGCGCAUGCAUUAUCUAAUGCUAAGGACUCUACAAGAAUCGGUUAAGCUUUUCGUUUUAGUUUGAUCGGAGUUCGGUACCGGUAGCUAAGGCAAUCCCCUCUCCUGUCCUGUCCUGUGCAAGAAUGAGGAAUAUCUUAGCUUAGUAUAGACACGUGAGUAGCUAACAGAACUGAGUAACCGACUGACAGACAGAGUAGGAUGAGGGAUUGAUGUCUGUCUUUGAUUAGCAAAAGCAGAACUCUUAUAGGAAGUUGACUGAGCACUCUCAUAAAACUGGUAGGGAGAUUUUUUGUGGUGUUCUAGGAAAAUGAGCCAUGAUCAUGAAGUGAAAAGCACGUGGUAACAAAAUCGAAUGAAAAGUACAGCCUAUCUCGAUUAACUGAUCGAAACCUAGCGCAUCAUGUUUUCGAGUCGCCAGGUGUUUAUUCUCUUGGAAGCAAGCCAACUCUGCCCACCCAAUUCUAUAUAUCUAUCUUUCUUCUUACUAGUUAGAUCGGAGCCGACACAAGGAAUUGAAUUGGUCGACGAAGCCAACAAGCAAGGUCCACAGCGCAUUAGAAACAGGGCAAGCUAAUAAGUAGGUAGGGUGGGACUUGAAAACGGAGCUAACUAUGCAUUCCACGGAUGCAAUAGCCAGAAUGAACUGGGGCUGGCUUUUCUGUAACUAGUCUUUCCUGCUGCCCAACAUUCUACUAUUCGUUCCAACUCUUCGUUCCACGGAGCUAGGAAGAAGUCCUGCAAAAAGAAGAGAUGCACUUCCGGCUGCCUGAUAGAGUGAACGAUUUGGUACGUGGUAACGCUGUAAAGUCGAUAUCUCACCCAUGAAUAGAGGGCUGGCUAGCAUCUCACCUCAAAAAAGAGAAAGUUGUCUCACCAUAUCAUAUGCUCGUUUUCUAAAUCCAGUGUUAUGCUCUCUUCUUUGCUUACACCUGUUACGCACCUCUUGUGCAGUGACAACACUACCCGGGAGUUUAUCUUAGCUGUCUGGGACUUACUCUCCUAUCCACCACUGGUACUAGUCUGUUGGCCAACACUUUAGUAAUGAUCUUGGACAAUAAGGAAGGCUGAUUGGUCUAUACUUUUAUUCUGUUAAUGGAGUACUGUAGAAGAGUUCUCCCAACCCAAGUAUCUUCGGUUUCAGUUCUCUCUCUCUUUUUGACCUGCUACUCUGCUGUUGUUUUGGCCCUUCAAGGGAGGGUUGUUGAAUUUCUGAAUUAAGAAUUAAGUAAGUAGAGCAGUUAGGUUAUGAGCCUUGCGAGCUGUAUGGGGGAGAACAUAGCCUUUUGGCUUGGAAUAAUAAGUACAAAAAAGGAAAAAAUCUCAAUAUGACAAUCUGAAUUACUUGAUGCAGUAACAUCAGGUUGUUCUGUCGUUCGACUUAUCGUUCAUCUCGCUGUACUUCUCUAUCGAAAGAUAAGGGUUCAUCGAAGAAAGGGAAGGGAACUAUCCGCUCUUGUCCUUCAAUGAAAGCAAGCCGGAUCCGAUGAAAUCUUCACUCGGUAAUAGUAUAGAGUAGAGUGCUCCAUUGAUAGUGGUGGAUUGGACUUCUUGAAAUAGAUAUAUAUAUGUGAAAGAAAGAGAUGGUUUCUUGCUCGGUGAAAGGAAUAUCACUAUCCCUCGUCCUAGGGUUUUCCUGCUUGAUUCUCUUUUCAGUGAGGGAUGCCCACUUAAUCUUAAUAAAGUAAGUAAAGAAUGAUCGAUUCGAUAGGAAGCACUGGUUCAAGGAAUAACCCUUGGAUGCUGAUCUCUGGUUAAAGGAUUAACCGUCGGAUAGCGAGCUGGAAUCGAACCAGCAAUUGAAUCUUGUCGCUACUUUGGCGGAGUAGACCGAGGGGGAAUGUAGAGUAUAGUUUACGACAAAAGGUGUUCUAGGACCAAAGGAUCGAAGAGUGCGGCCUACUGUACUUGAGGAUUAGGAAUAUGGAAGAUAGGGUUCUCCUAAGACCUAAGAAUAGUAGAGAAGCAAGGGUUAAUAGAAGCACCGCUGAUGUUGGUCCAAUCUAGCUGGGCUGGAUAAGAAUCGGGAAGACUCGGGCAAACUGGCAAACAUCGGAUGAGAUUGCACCUUACAACAUAGAAGGAAGAACUAACAUAACAAUCAUCUCAAAAAUCCAGAUGAAGGAGAGAAGGCAGCAUACAAAUAAUAAAUAGAAUAUCUAGGGUGGUAACACCUGCAACUCGGCAAGGAGAAGGAAUCCCUGUAGUAGCGAGCAGUGUGAUUAGAUAAACCGUACCCCCUGAGGGGCCUGGCGAUACGAACCGGUUGAAUAGAAGAGCUUCCUUGGUUGGAACAGAAGAUAGAAGCUGAUUAGAAAACAGAUGAGAGGCGGGCAGCAUUGAGAAAAGUACUAUACUUAACUUAGUUUUAGUUAGGGUCGGUUUGACUAAAAUAAGUGAGUGGGACUCGCGAACUGGACAGUAAAGUGACAAUAGGGUGGUCACUCGGAAUACUUUUGUUAGGGAAAGCCUAGUAAAGUGGUCAACUAAUAAAUAUUGUCAAUAAAGAAAGGACUGGAUCAGAGAAGUAUGAUGUAGUCCCCUUCCCUGGGUAUCACGAACGGGGCAUCACAACCAUCAUAUCAUUCGAGGAAUGUUUCCAUUCCGAUACUGGCAUCCGGAGUCCUCCCUACUGAUCCUUCGGAGCCGGGGUGCAAAGGAAGCAAGAGCACUGGGAGUACGAAUAUCCUUAGUCCGAGGAAGGGUGCUAUAUCGGUGGUGCAGUUCUUACACAUCAUUAUAUCCAUAUUGGAAAUCAAAUAAUCACCUGGCCCACCCCGAUUCUCGAGAAUCGAAGAGCUGACUUGCAUUCGAGGGUAGUGUUAAGCAACUUCCGGAUAUGAUCGAUAGGUUUCACCGUCAAGCAAAGCAAAUAGGAGAAAGAAGAGAAGUAGCACCCGCUGGGCAGGAUAAGUAUCUAUCAGUUGGCCAUCUCCGCCUAGGCCGGCGGAGACUAUCCAUAGGUUAAGUUGGUUCUGGUUGGAGGAUUAACCCUCUGAUUGUGAUGCUUGGCUUUUGGGCCUCGGAAAGGAAUAAAACUAGGCAAGCAAGGAGGGGAUAAAGGACCACGGAACGAGGUAAAGGGCAACCCCUUGACCGAGUGAAGGCGAGCCCGGAUUCAAAGUAAGAUGGAUUGAAAAAAGACUCCUAAAACUGCCCCCGCUGGGGUAGAUAAAAAACCUUUGUCCAUGGCCUUACCUUGUAGGAAAGGAUCGCUCGCUACUGGUAACCGUUAAUUCGUAAAACGUAUGUUUCGUAGGAAGCGGAAUCCCGUGGAAGAAUCAGUUUUCUCGCUGCGCUGGCUUAUGUGAUGUGGUUGGUCAAGCCUGCCUUUAAACGCAAGAAAUCAAGCUAGGAUUCUGGAAACCGGAAGGGUAUUCCCAAGCUCACAUUCCACUUCUGCAGCAGAGCUAAUAGAGAUUUGCAGAAAGGGAUAUGCAGACUAGAUGCACGCUAAAAGUGCCAGGUUCCAGUCAAGAAGCAAGGCAAGAGAUCCGCGGAAGAGAUCCUGAUUGUAGGUCCCGUUCCCUCAGAUAGACUGGCCUAUUUUGCCCCAGCUUCCGAGACCGGACUCGAGGAAGCUGCCCCUCCUGACAGGGAUUGGACGCGAAGGAUGGAGCAUCCGAACAUUGAAUUCGAGCUAAGAUUCUAACGAACAGCUGGAAUAAAGAACCUAUCCUUUCAGGAAUAAGGAAUGAGAAAUGGAACAGAGAGUGGUUGGAUGGAGUAUAAAAUCUAAAGGUUAUAUUAUAUAUAGUAGUGGGAAGAAAAAAAGACAAGAAAACGAUUGAAUGUCAGGCAAAACAGUUCUGUAAGUCGCGGAUCAAAGCCUGAAGUGAAGUGCCUGGUUGUCUUAGUAUUAUAAGUAAAGCAUUUCAUUCUCCGGUUUUGAUUUCAUUCUCUUUUGUGACGGUCUACUUGCUUGUGCUAAGGCUGCUGGAAUGAGCCUUCUAAGAGUAGGUUUUGAGACAAGAUCUUGAUUGAUCACUUAGUCUACCUUUUACUCAUUUCUUCGAACCUCUAUAAGUGUAAGAAAAGAGUGCAUGUACUUUUAGUGGACUUUACUUUUUUCUAUAGUGUGAGAGUACUUUCUGUUCAAUCCAGUCGCUCCAGAUCUGCCUGAGACAAAGCCUAUAAGAUCGUUAUUAAGUAAUGAAUUUGCAAAUAGAGAACUAAACUAUAGGAAUCAAUCCAAUUCUCGUUCUACAACAAGAAGAAGAUCCAUGAACUGGAACGGAUGGAAGAUAGCACUAGAAGUAAAAGAAAUAUUGAAAGGUGCGAAGCAAUCACAUCGCAACAAAUAGGUAUGUAUUACUUUGAGUUUCUCGCUGAACUCCACUGGACACCGACCUCCUAAAACUGACCUCUCUGCUAAUUCGAAUCGAGGCUUACUGCCGCUUGGUACUAUACUUCUUCCUGCCAGACUCUUUCAAUACCCAGCCCUCUUAAGUGUUUUCAAACUUGGCUAGUUUCUUCGAGAAUGGAAGCUUUGUCCUACGGCCUGCAAAUUCUUCUGCUCCUAAAGGAAGUUUCUGACCCAGCUUUAGAUGAUAGAGGAUUUGACAAAGAGACCUCUUCCUGCCAUACUGAUCGACUAUUCUCUUGAAAUGCCAUCUCAUCCUUCGGCCUAGCUUUUUCAUUUCUUCCUUAUUGGAUUCAAACUGUUUCAAAAGUUUGGUACUUGGUACAAAGUAUAUACCAACUUUCCUGGCUUCCCUAGAGGUUGUAUUAAAGCCGGCUUGCCUAACAGCCUGCUCUUCUUUCCCAGACGAGCGAGACGGAUUGUGGAUUGAGUUUGAGUUCUUUUGCCGCUUGCGAUUGAUUAAGUUACAUUACCUGCUGCACCGAGCAUUGAUUUGAACGAAUUAAUUACCAGACUUAUUGGGGAGUGUGUACGACUUAGUGGAGUGUUUCCUUUUUAAUAGAAUCAGAGCAGAGGAUUGAAUCGCAUGAAUGGGUUGAGCAUUUUAAUAGAUAUACCCUUUUUCUUAGGCAUCGAUUCUAGGAUUGAAGAAAGGGGAGAUUUCCCACACUUUGAAAGAUUCACCUAUUGGGUGGGGCGUGUUUGAAUUACCUACCCGGGAUUUUUCAUAUUAACUGUAGCUAGGGAAUUGACUGACUCUGAUUAAUAUCUUUGUCUAGCAUUUCCAAAUUGCCUCAAGACUGAUACAGAUUUUACGGAGUUAAUUACCACAGGGCGGCUUGCCCUAAGAGUAUAGUUAAGUGGGUCAAUUCCCAGAACAGACAGGGUUUAGUCAGUUCAUUGACUAGUAAAUGACUUGAUCCACUCAUUAGCAUUGAGUGUUGUCUGUAAUUUACUAUAUUAUAUUAUAUUAUAUAUAGUAGUAAUGAUGAGCACUUUUACCAGAAAGAGUUGACUGAGUUAAUGGAAUGGAUUCGCUUGUUGGCUAAUCUGAAUCGACUUACUUAAGUGUGGUGUUACCAGGCUUGGAAAGAAAACUUCUUUAUGUGUUUGAUUUCCCUAAUUUACUGGUACUCAAAUACCUGCCAAGCAUUCCCAAUCUCAGUUUUUGUCACACAAUAAGAUCCAAUUUGUUUAGACUCGUUAGGUUUGGUCACCCAUUACCUUGAGUGAGGCCAAAGGUGUACACCUAUUGUCAUGAAGAUGUGAUCAUAUCCACCGAAAGGUCUUGUUCUAAGCCCAAUCCUCUCGUCUUAGGUCCAUAAACCAACAAUAACGGGAGCUUCUCCUUUUUGGUUGACAACCUAUGUUGGUCUGACUAAGCCCACUAUCCUAAUGGGAGGGUCCCACCUUGUGUCGGGGUAAGGCUCCACCUCAUCUUGGGUUAAGGGCGAAGCUUGAAGCCAAUUUCUUCACUUUCCGUCUAGGGCUUUGCUUGGCAUUGGGCUUCGAUAUAGCUGGUGCUUUCCUGGUCUUGGAUUAAACCUCAGCUCUCCUAAUUCCGUCUAUAGGUGGUUCAAUCUUAUAAGUUUAGCUUAGGUACAUCGAUUCAAUCCUGCCCCAGGCGUACCUGAGACAACCCUUUCCUCACCCGAGAAUUGCAUUUCCGCUUCAGCUUCCGGCGCAUCCAACUUUUUCUGGAUCUAGGCAAGGAUCCUCAGUCCUAUAGAAAGAAAAGAAUCUAAGUUCAUUAGAUUAUGCUUCCUUGCCCGUGUGGAACAUGUGUGAGCAUUAUGUUUUUCCAACAAGUGAUCCGACUGGAAGAAGUGUUAUAUGAGGACUUCGAGAUCAAAUAGAGAAUCUGUCUCUCCAUUCCUCGUGAGCCACUUAUUUCUCCGAAAUCUGAGAUCAGAGUGAUUUUCCUCCUUUUUCCCAAAUAGUCGACGGUCCAUUGGGAUACUUCGGAUAAACUGGAGUACAUAUAUGAGAGACCGGUGCUAAAACCUUUUCUCGAGAUAUCUUCCAAAUUAUUAGGGUCCUUGCUCCGGAUCUUGUUCCCCCGGUGCGAAAGCAGUUGGUUCCGUAGUUUGAGAAUUCUGCUAAUUCCAAGUAUUCCAUUAUUAUUAUUAUAAAAGAGAAUAUAAAAAGUAAAGAGGAGAAGGCAUAACCAGAAGAAUUGUGAGAAAUAAGUCAAUUUAUCAAGUUGAGGCAUUUCGAUUUCCAAUCAAACCAACCCUCAAGACAGAAAAAGACUCCCUCCCAAAAUAACCAAAAAUACUAGUUGCCUUCUAACGCAUAGACUAGAGCGUUUGUCCCAUCCUUAUCUAGUGGGCCAAUGACAUUACUAUUCUACGCGUUUUCUGAGGAGCAACAUGAGAGAUAGACUUGACACCGACCCACGAAAACGAAACUUUUUAGUCUAGAAAGAUUCCCAACCCGAUAUUGAGAUCUGAUGACUGAACACUCGUUUGAAUAGCUCGAGGUGUCGACGGAGCUAACUUGUGAGACGGAGCUCACUUCUGAGAUAGAGCUGUCUUCUUUCUCUUGGUUUCCAUCCUUCCGUUACGAGAUAUCGUUUCGUACAAUACUACUCUAUGCAAUAUGCAAUUUCGAGAAGAGAGCAGAGCUAGCCCACCGCAUCCAUCCAGCCUGAAAGGAUUCACUCAACUGGACUCGCGGCUCUAGGUGAUCCCAAUGGAUCCGUACAGGGUGAUUUGAACUGCUCCUCUCGAGAAGAUCGACGGAUCGGGCGAGCAAGCAGGGAGAGUGCAGUAUUGUGCUUGCGCCCUUAAAUCAGAGAAAUCGACAGGACAGAUUUCGAGCCCGAAAAGAGAAAGUAUCUCCUCUCCAAUGAGAAAGUAUCUCUCCAGCGAAAGAAUCUCCAUCUCCUUCCUUCGGGAAACAAACCUUCCUUCCAGGUAGAUAGCAUUUCCACAGGAAAGAGAAUCCGUAUUGAUUGACGUAUUGAAACAAUCAAGUCCGUCAAGAUUGACAGGCAAGUGCAAGUCCGUUGACAUGACAGGAUCAAGUCCGUAGACAGGAUCUAGUCCCGAUAGGGUUGGUUCAGAUCAUAUAGCUUAGGCUCAAGUAGCAAAGCAAGUCCAGUAGGUUGUUUAGGUUCCGGUCAUAUACAUAUAGGUUGAGGUUCCGUUCCGGUCAUAUAGAUGUUUAGGUGGUUCCGGUCAUAUAGGUCAUUCCAGCUAUAAGCUAUAGAAGCUAUAGAUAGGAGAUGGGGGGGAAAGCCACAUUCAUUAUAGGCUAUGCUAUGGGAACGAGAUCCUUCCUUCUGGGAGCACAUGGAUCAGUGAGUUCUGGCAUGAUUGCUAGAACGAACGGAAUCUACUCUACUGGCGUGGCGCUGCUGUAAUUGUAAUCACUGAGAUUCCUUCUACCUAUGAUUUAUUUGCUAGUAAUAGUUCGAGAUGAGAUUGGCACUGUCUCAAAUCCCAGCACGAAUGCUUGGCACUGUAAUCCCAAAUGCAUGGCACUACAGUAAUCACUUACUUUCAUUCUACCUACGAUUUAUUUGGUGGGGUGGCAUCUAUAUCAGCUGCUUUCUACUCUCAAGACUCUAUGGAAUUCCCUAUCUUCUUCUCUGGCCAAGGGUGAAUCAAUCGAUUCAAUCAAAGCAACCCAAGCAUUCAAAAGUAUCCGUUUUUAGUUCUUACUUUUGCCUGAUCCGGAACCCUAACCCGCCCCAAAGAUCACCCAUACCCAUCAAGAAAAAAGGCGCAACGAAGUGGGUUGUUAUCGCGAGAGAGCCCAGCACUGGUUAUUAUGGUAAGUAGUCGACUUGGGUUGUACCAUCGAAAGCAGAAAGCCCCCUAAGCAACGCACCAAUCACCAUUUCUUUUGCAAUUGCAUUUCUUUGAGUGCCAGCGAGUAAACGAGUUGGUAUGACAAGAGAUUCUUCAUCAUAGAUGAGAUGGCAGCCCGGCACCGGCACAAAUAGACCUGAUGGAGCUUGGAAAGAUAUAUCUAUGGAUUGAGGGCCGGACUAAAUCGGAAGGGCUCUCUGUUCUAUUUAUAUUAGUAGUGGUAGACAGACAAAUAGGCCCAUUUUUGACCUCUUAAACAUCCUUACAUUGCUGCUUCAGUUGCUACCACUUUCCUAAACAAUAUUGGGAAGUUGCAUGGAGUGCCAGCCACUAUUGUAUCUGACAGGGACAGGGUGUUCACUAGCUCCUUUUGGAGGGGCAAGCUAUUGGACACUAAGUUGCAGUUGAGCUCUGCCUAUCACCCUCAGACUGAGGGGCAGACUGAAAGAGUGAAUGAAUCAGUGUCUUGAGAUGUAUCUCAGGUGCUCAGUAAGUUCUACUCCAAAACAGUGGGUUAAGUGGUUGCCAUUGGCUUGGUACAAUUCGGCUCAUCACUUCUGCAAUCCUCUCCAGUUAAAGCACUCUAUGGUAUGGCCAUGAACCCUCCACUGGAGCAGUGCCUCUCUUGGUUCACUCCACUCAUUCAGAUGUUCCGGAUUUCCAAGUGCCAGGAAAGCACAUGCUAUUGAGCUGGAGCGGGAAGAGAACUGAUUUCUUUCACUACCGACGGACGAGAUCUGAAGUACUGAAGUAGUGAUGGAAUAGAAUGGACGGAUCGAAGUCGCGAAGGAGCCUGCCCAUCUCAGCACCAAGGAAGAGAUUGUUCGUUUUUGAAUUUGAGCAUGCAUUUCUUUCAGUCUGUAUCAAAUCAAAUCAAAAGUAGUGCAGAUUCACUUUGAGACGGAAUAGUCUCGGUAAAGGAAAGAGGCUAUUGCUGAGCAUCUCUAUAUUGAUCUUCGCUUUUACGGACAACCUUUCUUUCUGUAGGUUUAGCCACCGAUCCCGGAACUUUGAAAUGUAGCAGCGGUGUUAUGAUUGCCCAUGCAGUUUCGUUUGAGCUGCCGCAAGCAAGUAAUUUUGGACGAUAGGUUAGGACUUCUCUUAUCAAGUUUUGAAGUUUGGACUUCUGUACGAGCUAAACCUGACUCGCUUUCAAUCGUAAUUUUUCUUACACAUCUAAAUACCGAUGAUAGUUCACAGAGAGUGUGGUGAACAAUGAAUUUACAACGUUGCUACUCUCUUCUUACAGAAAGGAAGCGCACCUUGCCUAGCCUAGCUUGAUGGGAAAGAGAAGAUAUGUUUUAAGCUUUCACUAUCUUAAACAUGGGAAAAAUGUUGACUCAUAAUCAAUGCUAUGUUGUCUUCCUAAGCCACCGAAGAGUACAAAGUAUAACUCACCAAGUAGCUACCCUGGUUGUUUGUCCAGGAAAUGGGGAAUCGAAUCAAUAAAUAGGGAACUUAAAUUGUCAGGUUAAGGGCGCUAAGCCUUCCAAGCCGUACCCGAGUAUAACUGCCCGGAAGGUCGUUGAAUUCGACUCUCAAACAGAAGACGAUUUUUAUGUACGUCUUACUCUUUAGAGUCUUUUUGAUUAUUGAUAAUACUUGAUGUAUGUAAUAGUCUUGUUCUGAUAGAAAACUCCACUUCUCUUGUUGUUUUUGUUGCAGGAAGCAGGAGAGGAGGCCCCUCUUUAAACAUAUGCCAGUUACGACGAGGAUUGUGAAGAAAGCAAUCUAGAUGACAACGACAAUUAUGGUGAUGAUGAGAUCGAAUCACUUGUCAGAAUACGCGCAAUAAGCUGGUAAAAGUAAGAUAAUUUGGCUCUGCAGGUCGAAGUUGAGGAUAUGUACGAACCUUGAAAGAAGCCCACUUACCCACUCUUCUUUCCCCACCAAACCAACAAGUAUACGGUUGGUGGGCCUCGGUUUCCUAUGCCUACACCAGGAAAUAUUACCGAUCGGAAAAUGAAUCGAAGAACUGAGGACGUUUCCCAUACUCAAAAAACAGCUGCAUAAAUAAAAACAAUAUUGUUUUCAAUUGGAAUUUUCGUAAGGUUCCUUACAUCGAAAACAAUAUUGUUGUAUGUCCCGGACAUAGUCAAAUUCCCCACAACCAAAACAGUAUUUUAUAGAAUAUUUUGGCUGCCAGAAUAAUAAUGAAAACGGGCAUAUCGAACCCCAGGAGCCGGCAAAUUGUAAGCACCCCCUGCCGUACGAAACUUCCCUUGACUGCCUCCAGAAUAUGGGGAUCGAUAGGAAGAGACCCCUGGGACCCAAACCACAUUACUAGAACUAGAAAAAUGGGUAAGGCGGCCACCACGAGACGCAUGGAGAUCAGACAAAGUCUUACCGAAAUUGGAUUUCCUUUUCGCGUUGUUGAACUAAAAGUUCUUGAAGACGCCUGGCUUGCUUGGUCAAGCCCAAAGUGAAAGAUACGGUGAUUCCACAUAGCACAUAUUUCCAUCUUUUUCAGCUCUGCUCCCAAAAGAGAAAGGGAGACUUGGAUUUUGGUCGGCGUUGGUUUUUCCAAGGUCUUUUGAGAACGUAAACAUGAACGGAAGUAGCGUAGGACACCCACACUCGAAGAAAUGGAUCGAUAAGAACAAACCGAACCUACACAGACAGAGAGAUAUUUACUUUUUUCACAUCUGUAACUAAAACUAAAGGGCUGCAUUUUCACAUUUCUUUAAAUGUAAAAAAAGAUGUAGAACUGAAUAGCGCAGCUGUUUUGGCUCGCAAUAAAGCAAGGGUCCUGAUCGAGCAAGACUACGUCCUAUCUAUCUACCUCUCCAAACACAAUAUCUUGAGUACCUAUGAUGGUGACUACAUCUGCUGGCAUGUGAUGUUUGGACAUAGAAUCGAGUCCUUGUGAAUGGGCAAAGCCAGGUGCUCUUAUUUUACAACGGUAGGGACGAUUACUCCCAUUACUGACAAGAAAGACACCAAAUUCACCUUUAGGUGCUUCAACUGCGGUAUAGGUAGAAGGAGCUGGUACGGAAAAACCUUCUGUAUAAAGUUCGAAAUGGUGAAUUGAGGUAGAGUAGACCGAUGAUCCGGUAGUCAUUUGGCCGGCUAUGGAAAGAAAAAGCUUGCAUCUGCUCCCCCUAAACUAUAACAGGUCCCAUCUCUCUCCAAACCUAACGUGGUAGUUUCCCAUCAUAAGGCUUUCCAUCUAUAGAUUGAUUGAGCCAUUACCCACUAAGGAUCCCAUUCGUUCAGAACUCAGUUGACUGCUUCUAUAGAUAAGGCGGAACGUCCUUAGUUCAGCAUUAUAGCACAUAGUCUCCGACGCUACUACAGCGCUUCGCUAACUCGAAGCGCCUCGCUAUGAUAUGAGAAUGACGCUUCGCUAACGCUCGGCUAAGUCGUCGAACCCUCGCGCUGACCAUUCGCUUUCUCAGUAGCGAAAGCGCUUCUCUUUGCCCCUUAACUUAAUCUUAAUAAAGUAAGUAUUUGGAAAAGAAAGAGAUUCUUGGUUUUAUUGCUCCCGCUUCCUCAUCUGCGCUCGUCAAGCCAACUUUGCUUUUUGGGAGGUGAAAGAGGAAGCGGACAUUUCGAAAUGACAGCAUCGAAGAUAUCUAUAUACACAGGAACGCUUAUUCCGGACUGCGUUCCGGAAAAAGUAGCCUACUUGACAGAAAGGGCGGGCACUCUCGGCUCGGGGGUAGGCACUCUCGUCUUUCAACCCCACCGUCACUUUGAAUUUAGUGGGGCACUGUUUACUUUACUUACAGCCUCUACGAGUUGCAAGUGAAUGGGGCCGGUGCGUGUGAACGGAAGGGUUCAUCAAGCCAUUUUAACCCCUAAACAAAAUAGGAAGAGGGGUACUUGACUAAUAGGGGGCAAUUGCAUCGCACCUGACUGUGAGGGACCUCUUGAUACCUUAUGUUCACUUCCUAACUAGUAGCCGGUUUCCUGUCGCGGAAGCCUUUUCCCAGUGCGCGGAGCCGAAGGUGUUAGUGCUUUCUCAUGGGGUCAAUAAUGCUAAUCCCUCUUUUUGUGCCGGGAAGAAGAUAAGACCUUCUCUUGGUUUCCCAACCUGUUGCUUCUAAAGGCUGCCCUCUCUCGGCUGGAUUUUGGUCCAGCCUACUACGAGGAUCCCGUAUCCCGUACAUCGUCUUUCUCCCUCCUGGGUUCCCGUGGUUCCUAUGCCGCCGCGUUUCCCGGUCCUUUUCUUUUUUUAGUGCUUCGACCCGAAGCGAUAGCUUGACGCGUUUUCCGUGGAUAAGAUGGCAGCGCUCCAGCUCACUAAAGAAUGGGACGGCAGUGGUCCGCCGGCAAGCUCGUUCUGAUCUUGGACGCAGUACAUUGGAAUCCUGAAGCACCACCACGAACGCUACCGCGCGUGCGCCUGCGGUGCGGUAAGGCACCACCCUGUUGUGCCAGCAGCCAACUCCGGCGUGUCAGCUUAGUUAUCCUCAUCAAGCCACAACCUUGAUGUCUAGCUUCCCAACUGGUAGACGGUUCCCUUUCCCCCGGAUCAAUGAAGAAGGGAGAAGUCAGUUGAUUCUUCCGAAGAACCGGAAGCGAAGCGCUAUGCCGGGGCGAGGGGACGGGAAAAGAAACUGCUCCGAAGAAAGAUAUUGGGGUUCCCAAUGCUUCUCCACGCCCAACGAGAUGCGCCAACCUCGGGAUGCUUUACUCCUAACCCCACGACGGUUCCGAGACGGAGCUUAACCUGAGUCUCGGUUAAGAACGGCGAUGAUCUACGUUUCACACGGCGCACGAUUCCAUGGAUAGUUUCAUUCGAGAUCGUGAUGGAGGACAUAGCUUACGAUCAUCGGCUUUGAUCAUGCCACUAGGCAUUCGAUUAGGACAUUGCACAAUGAUCCGAACACUUUGUCGCAUCUCUUCGAUACGAAUACAGUAACGAUCAUAGCGAUCUCCUCUGGUACCUACUGGUACGUCAAGAUCCGAUUGGUCAUGAACAUCGUAAGGUGCUGCUCUUCGCGAAUCCCAGCAUACCCCAGGUUGGGAUGGGUAGGCCCACCACUUCACUUUUUCACUUUCACUUAGGCCCGGGCCAAGUCAGUGGGGGGACCCUGUCGGGCUCCUUCCCCCCCAAAACAAACUGUACGUGGGAGUUUCCCUUCAUACGGCUCGAAUCAUUCUCAGAUGCCCCGAGAGGCAUCUUUCCUUAUGAUCUGGUGGUUCACACGCGCGCAAACGAGCACCGGCCGCAACAGCAAGGAACUAUGACCAAUAGAGUCAGACACAGAGCGUCAUACUUCUUUAUCUUGUGAUGGUUGAGGAGUUUCUUUCUCAGAGGGUGCGGGACGCUUGCGGAGUCCGUACCACCACAGGUCGUUCUUGGGCAGAUCCCGCUCCUAAACAUAAGGGAGGGAUAGGGGGAAAGGGGCCGGGCCUAUCAUAUAAAUAGGGUUGUAGAAAGACCACGUAUUUUCAUUCGACGUUCCGGGGCGCCCGAUUCGAUCAACGAAUUUGGCGAGCUGAUCUGCUUUGAUCCAGGAGAAAGCCCAGUCAGCCACCUUUUCGGUGCAGGUCACGUGACCUACAGCUCGGCCUUCGCUUUUUGAGACUUCCUCUACCCACAUCUCUAUGUGCCCGCAGCACUUUCAUAUGGAGAAAGAUGGGCUUACCAUGUUCCAUCAAUAGCACCUAACCUAUGCCGAUUUUGGCGGACCGUGCUCCACCCCGGUGAACUCAUGCGGUUCCGACGUGCCCAGAGGCCAGAGGCGAAUCCGUUCACGGUCCGUAGGACCAACACCAUUCGAAGGUUGAUGGCCCGCCUAGAAUAGGAAUCUUUGACUGGGCUUACACACAUUCGCUCACUUACGCUGUCCCCCCUCAGCUCACCCUAGCCCCGGGUACGUCGUCUCCAAGGCUUCACACAAAAUCUUCACUGACAACAUAUGCAUGCUUUUGUAGGGUCGGGCAGAACCGUUGUUGCCUGAUGGGAACUUCCCCCAUAUUGCUAUCAAUGUCUUCAUGUCGCACGACCUCUUAACAUUACACCACUGAAUCCCCAAUCCUUUGCUUGCUGUGCAGUGACAGUACCAAUAUCCACUAAUCGUUGUUUCCAGAUACGGUUGCCGGUUGACAUCUCUUCUAAUUCGUCGAUACGAGAAGCAAAUUGUUGUGUGGAGGAAUCAAUAUCUCGACAUAAGCCAAGAGGCAGAUCUUGUGCCACUCCACCAGGUCGUAUGAAACUGGCAUGCAUCCUGGCUCCCGGGACUCUUUCAUAGAAUUCCAACAAUUUCUCCCGCUCCUCAAAAGCCCAAAGGAACGGAGUUGAUGCUCCCACAUCCAUAGCAUGAGUAGUUGAAGCAAGUGAAUGAUUUGAAAUUCGAGUUAUUUCACAGAAUAACACUCGUAUAUAUUGAGCUCGUAAUGGUACCUCACAAUUCAAAAGUCUCUCUACGGCUGAAGAAUGAGCGUGUUCUUGGGCCAUCGUAGAAACAUAGAUAGGGUCAACGACGGAACGAACAACGAAACUUUACGACAGCUUUUUCGUACACGUUCACUUGCAUCACAUACACAAGUGCUCUCUGAACCGUGCAAUAAGGUCACCCAUAACACGGCUCUCCCACUGGAGUUACCUUAGCCCCGGGCCAUGCUAUUCCAUGAUAUUGGAAUAAUGGCAGCCUAACUACUUAUUAUCAUCGUCUUGAAAGCUGGGCGCCUUUUGAAUAUGAGUGGGGCUCCUAGUCUAGGCGGCGCCUUCGUGGAGCCAAACCGAAGGAAGAGCAAAAGGGCGAGGCCACACCCGGCUUCGAAUAGGAGGGGGGCUUAGCUCUGGAUCCCGCCUGCUUGCAGAAAUGAAUGGAUCAGAAAGGGGGCUGGGUUCUAUUUCCGGGCCGGGCAGGAGGUGAAGGCCAGAAGAAGAAGAGAAGUGCGCCUUCCCGGUAAGGAAGAGGAUAAAAAGGUGCUGUCAUCUAUCUCGACCUGUUUCCCGAGGCGUUGGAAAUGAAGACCGGCUCAGAGAAUCACUGGCGUGCUUUCUCUCCCCCAUCGUUUCGCCAACAAAGAAGUCAUCCUUGACUUGACGAUUGACCAUUCCAUCCCUACCGAGCCGCCUCUUCGAAGUAUUUACCUCUGCCUUUCUUUUUUCUCCAAAUAUAAAAGAAAAAAUAAAGAACCUCGUCUGUGAUUUAAUCGGCCCUAAGGGAGUUUACUCGACCCAUUCUCCAGUCUCCCGCACUGCUCAAGUGUGCGACUCCGUAUGAGGACCUCCUUCCCUUUUGCUCUGCCCACUCUCCGUUCACACGGUUAUCAAAGCGGAGGAAGGGUGGGCAGCAGGUACCACGAGCCCUCUGUCCCACACAUCUAUCAAGAAGCAAGUGUAGUUCACCGGUUCCACCGAAUGCUCCUAUCUCUCGGCAAAGAUCGUGUGAGUGUGCAGUUAUGCUUCGGAUGCUUCGCCAUGGAAUAGAUCGACUCUGUUCCCCUUCUUUUCCGGUGCACUCGCUUUAUAUCUCCGACACACAAGGAAGGACGUGGUGGGAAGAAAGCAGCCCUAGCCUCUGUCCGGUCGAUCAUUCCGCUGGCAUCUUGCAUUCACGCCUCCGUUUGACUGCCGCUCGGGAAUGUAGUUGUAGAUACGUGAGUCUUAGUGGGUCGUUGGCUCCACCUCUUAUCUCCUUCUACGACAUGCUGUAGUCGUCGCCAUAUUCAAUAUGUCACUUAGUCAUAUCUGCCUCGCAGCGGGUCAGCACCCCCGAAAGAAAGGGAGGACUUCAUUCAGUGACUCCGCGAUCGCCCUCUGAACGAUCAAAAUAAGGUAAAGCUUGAAGAUAAGUUUUGUACUCGAUUAAUUUCUCAGUCCCUCUAGUCGGGUGGGCGCCGGCCGGAUCCCCCUGAAAACCGUACGUGCGGGUCUCCCCGCAUGCGGCUCACGCCAUUUGAGGUGGCCCAGCAUUCAUUCGCAAAUCCUGUAGUGAAAUUGAGACCGCUCGACCAGCAAGAGGAUGCGCCUAGCGCUAGUUGCUCAAUCCCUUGCUUGUUCGGAAGCUAAUUCGCGUGUAGGCAGCGCUGUCUGUCUACCGUUGACUGUAUCUAUUCAUUGAUACAUUGGCCCGCUCCCCCCCUCUUUUUCCAAGAAUGAAUGAGCUGCUCGGACCUUCCAUUUCCGUCAAAUGACCCGGCUUCCCCUGGCUCUUCCACCGUCCGGGCUCCCUUUCCUCCCUAUGCUCCCCCGGCGCAGGCCCACCACGCUUCGCGCCUGCGGCGUUUUCGCCAGACGGUCUUUGCCAGUAGUGCCAUCCUCCCCGCAGGCUGUCUGUAUGGGUGGGUUGUCCCUUGCUGCUACGUUCUGUUAGGCGCUAUGAAUUACAGGAAAUUAAGUGGUUGACUUGGACAGCAGGCGGGUUACACGUUCCACUGUGCCGAGAUGUGAGGUGCAGGUGGUGAUGAUCACCCCGGGGUAUGCGCUAGCGCCCUUGACGGGCACUCCAGGACCCGCCUACGCUCGCCCAGGUCGGUCCUCCGACCAGAUGUGUGGAUAACGAGGCCACCUUCACAACCUUCUCCCUUCUAUCUUUAUCCAAAGUCAGGUAGAGCGGUUCGCUUGAGUUGCUCAACCGUCCCUUUGCCCGGUGCUCAUGACGCGCUACUCCACCGUGCUAGCGGCAUAGGAGCCUACUCAGCGUCAGCGGCUUCGUGCCGCACUGGAGUGAUCCAAUAUGUGGUUCCGCACGUUCCACCACUUCUCCGUUCAUUUCCAAUACUGAUCGUGAAACACCAUGAGCAGCAGGAUGUUGAGGUCCGGAAUUCGAAGUGAAAUUCUUGAUUUGCCCGUUCCUAGUCGUCAUGGGAAAGAAAUAAGAAAGAAAUAAGAAAGAGAUUAUUCCCCUAGAGCUUGUCCCACCUGUACUAAAAAUGCAUCUCCGCGCGUCUACCUGGCGCUUUUAUUAGCCGCCUUGCAUGCAAGCGAAGCGCUAUUGGCGGCAAUUAAUAGCUCACUGAGCGAUGAUUGAUGCAGUCAGUCAGUGCCCUCGAUUAUUCCUGAUAGAAGGAUCAUGGCGCCCCGGAAGCAUUCCAUCCAGCAGCAGCAUCUCCUUCACAACCACGCGAGGACAAAACUGAUGUUAGCUACAUUCGAGCGUUCACCGCACAGAGGCGAUCUCGAACACUACCUAUGAUAAUAAAUCCAAAGGAAAGGUCGAUAAAAUGAUUCAAUCUGACUUUAUCGGUAUUCUGGAUUGAGUAAAAAAGGGAUAUAUGAAGUUCAAGGCCUUGCCAAAACCGUCAUGGCCCUAUUAUGUAUAGGCCGUACUAAGCCAAUAGCGAAUAACAAACUCUUUCCUGCUCCCUCGACCUUAAUUUAAUUCACUCCCAUCCUGCCAAGCCUCAGCUGCCAGCGCAUUGUAUCUAAGCACACUGUGGCAAAUUGAUACAAGUAGCUAAAGAUCUCGCAUCCGAGGCCGAACGGUUAGGCAACACUAGGGCGCCUGGGUAAAAAUUCCGUUUACCAAACAAGAUGUCGAGAGGCGAACUCUGUAAUUCCCCUCCUGCAAAAGUGAUAGCGGCUGUAGCAUCCGUGUGGAAGAGGGUAAGCUUUCGGCAACACCUUUUUCAGAUUGGAAAGGAUGAAUACUUGUGUUGGGUCCUGCAGACCAGGAUAGCCUCAGAUCAAAACCGAAAUGUGCCAGGGGUUGAUCAUAGAAGCCAGGGCAAUAAGUAUUCUGGAAUUUGAGCGCUUAUGUAGCUAAUAACUCUGCCACCUGAAUACUUGAUUCAUUAAGGUCGUCACCCUAUACCCAUCAUAUGAGGAGCUUUGGACCAAAUGGUGCCUAGCCUUUCGAAAGGAAGCCUGUCUGUCUGUACACACCUUAUGACUCGAGUGUACCAAAAGAGAUCGGAUCCCGAUUCAAUACUUCCUAGAUUUACGGGUUGUUCUUCGCUGAGAGCUUCUUCACUCAAUUACCAAGAUUCAAUCGACUUUCUUUUCCGCUCGCUGCCCGAUGCGUUCUUUAUUAAAGCCCAGCUAUACGUGGAAGGAUAGGUGGAAGGCACAUGCUUCUCUUUACGACGUAAAGGAAAGACCUCUUUUAUAAUUCUAUACUAGUUCCUAUGGCGUAAAGGAAAAGAGUUUCAUUUCGGCUAUUACAUCUAUGGGUCAACGAGUUUCUGGAGUCUCUUAAAGAGGGGAUCGAAGCAAGGUCCAAUCCCAUUAUUCUAAAUUAUUCUAAUACGAGUAUCUCACAGAUGAAGAAGUGAGCAAGCCUUUCUCCAAUGGAUUCUAACAGCGCAGACUAGGCAUCUUUAUCAGAUUUCCAUUUCUAUAUUAGUUUAGUUUAGUAAAGCCCCUUUUUUAAAUCCUUUCACGCUUUCCCUUUGCCGAAGGCCGGCCUCUUUAGUUCCUACGUUUUCGGAAAAGAAGGUGAGACGCUAGCUAGCAACGGGAAAAAACGAGUAGUUAAAGAUGUGAAUGUAAGACUACUCGAAAGUACUUCCAUUUUUAUUAUAUUAUAUAGUUUCUAAUAGAGAGUACAGUUGUAUCUAUGUGCGAAACGACGAAAGAAAGAUGGAAGGCCCAAAGAGCUCUACAGUAGUGCCCCGGAAUGGGGUCGUAGAGCCGGUAACCCACUCUGUUUAGUAUUUUGAUUUCGUUCAAGGUGUUGCUCUGUCAAAUAGAGAUUGUGUGGGUGUUCAGUCUACCACUCAUGUUCACGUUCUACAAAUCUAAGGGAGUGCUCCUAGACUGGACGACUUCCCGUAAAUAACCUAGUUCAUGUUCCUUUGAAAGAAAUAAAAUGAAAGCUUUUGAAGCGAAGAUGUCAACGCGGUGCUAGGUUUGCGCCGGCCACGAUUAUUUAUAAGUAUAUUGGAAAGAAGAGUGACUAGGCUACGGUCUAACUUUUUCUUCCUAGCGGAGUUCAAUACGAAAAUAAAGGCGCUCCGCGUUGGGAAUGGCGUACGUAGUACGGGUGGUAUUUCCGGUAUAACUGAUCAGGGUUGUUCUGAAAGCAAGUCAAUUGGUGCUUUGGAAAGUGAGUGCCAGAGGCUAGUCACUGCUUGGUUUACAGAAGGGAAGGAAGAAAGAGAUACCGAAGCAGAUUCAGUAUAGAAAAGAAGAAAUUGAUACCAUUCAUUCCAGCUUAUUUGAUACCCACUUAAAGUUUCUAUCAAACCAUGUCUUUUUCUUCGAACGUCAAUCUCGUAGGAAUUUAGAUUGGAAGUGUGGUAUUGAAGGGCGAAGCCUUUACUCUUUUACUUGUUUCUUUGAAUAUAAUAUAACAUAGUAUUGACUACGCACUUCGAAAGAUAAUGGUGUAUUCCGAGGAUCAGUCCGUUUUUUAUUGAAUUCGCAAAUUGAUAGAUCUGGAUGAUUAAAAGAAUGAUUCUUCCCUGGGUAUUUCCCCGCUACCAUUAUGGAAAUUGGAGCUUUUCAAUUCCAUUUUGGAGAUGCUCGUAACGAUUUUUUUCUUUUGGGUGGGCAAGAAAAGGAUUUGACUCUUGAAGAUAUCAACUCAUACGCCUGCUCCAUACAUUAAAAAACAUUUUGGGUACUUUCUAUUAGAAUGGAUAAAUAGAAAUGGGUACAUUCCUCUUUCUCUUUCCUGGCCAAACUACCAAAAAAAAAGAAGAGAGAGAGCUGUAAGAGCGGUAAAAGCAAGCUCGGUGGCCCGGUUCACUACAGGUUGAUGUAUCCUUUUGAAAGAAAAGUCAAUCUCUCUAAAAAAUAAGCACUUCAACAAGUCAGGGCCCUUUUUUAUACAACUCCUAUGCGUAAUUGAUAGCUUUUUGGUAUUCUCCAUAUAUACUACUAGGUACGAAAUAACAGGAAAGAUAGAAAUAGUGACUUUGGCUUCAAAUAGAGAGCAGCUUAAAGGGAAGGAGGACAGCUCUGAAAAAAUAACUGAACACUGGCUAGGAACUGGGCUGCACUAAGCCCGGCACUUUUUGGGCUUCUUCAUGAAUCUCGUUUUCAGGUAAGGUCAGACUUAUUGAAUAUAUAUCUGAAAGAAAGCAAAGGAAUGAAUCGUUUUUCCAAUUACCUUCUCUCGAAAACCAUAGAUCUUCUGGUUACCAUUGACUAUCCGGCACUUUCGUCUGUAGAGCGAAGCAAGAAAUUGCAUGGAAGGGCUUGCCCUGCUAAUAUCAGCCUUGUUUGGAACAAUAGAUGCAAUCCAUUUCAGUGUAUGUCACUGAGUUCACCAUUGCAGUUGAGACGUCAGGCAAUUGAGCGUUCCCUAGAGUUUGGUUCAAAGGCUAAGGACUCCCCGCCGCCUUCAUAAGGGCACUAAGGCGGAGCACGGAAAAGAAAAUGGGGCACCCAUGUUUUACCAGUCCCGGAUCUCAGGGCCGUUUUGCACAUGAACGAAAUCGAAUUUCAUUGCGGGAAAUUUGGAUUUCAUGAGGGAGGAAAAGGCAAGGCGGAGGGUGGAGAGUCGUACAAUGCAUUGGUGGGAUGAAGGUGCUAGCUUGGCUGAGAUAGGAAGUUUCGAUGUGUAUGUAGAUUUGGUUCUAGUGCCCCCACCCUUUUCGAGAUCUGUCAGGAUUUAAAAGAUGUUAUAGUGUAAACUAUAGAGAAAUGGAAUGAAUGAAAUGUAUCUAAGAAGAAAGGAAGCCAUGCUCCAUCCUGUUUAUAAAAAGAACAUCACCUCCCUUCCCUUUUUGGUUAGAUACCGCUCCGUUAGGUACUAAUGCUUCUACCUAUCACCCUCCGGGUGAGUUUGAGAGCUGUGUUUUUUCCAACGUUAAUAGCAUUCCGCGAGAAAAGAGAAAAGUCAUCUACUGAUGUUGUCAGCGGAGUCCCUCGUCCAUCCAUGUAUGAAUAGCGGUAUCCCCCAUUUUGGACAGUGAUGAGGUAGUCGACGCAAUUUGCAUGUGUAUUUGCGUUCGGCUUUGCUACUUUCCUUCUAGACUAUAAAAGAAUGUCCGCGGAAGGGAAUAGUCUACGUGGCCCGGGCCCGGGGUAGUCUUUCAAUUCCUUUAUCGGGUGGGAGAGUUUAGAACCUGUUAAGCCAAUAGCUGCAGCUUUAGUCACACUAGCUACAUCAGUGGAUCAUGGAUUUAGCAUACCACCUCAGAAUAGUCUACGUGGCCCCUACUUUUAUUUUACUACUUUUUUUUCCAGUAAUGCAGACAGCCCUUUUUAAAGCGCUAGGCCGGGCAGUUGGUACGAAAACAGAACCAUUAGUGGAGUAAGAUCCCGAUCAAAGCAGAGCGGUCUAAUCGAAAUAAUCAUAUCUAAGAGCAGGCAGGCACACGACUGGAUAUCAAAGGUGGGGCUCCCCUCCUCUACUCUACUCUACUCUACUAAAUGAAAUGAAAUAGUAUUUGUAUUUGGGUCGUCUUUGUGUUCGAUUCGAAUAGAAGCGCCAUUGUCAUCCGCUGCAGUUCUUCAUAGUCCGUCCUAGUAAGCUGGUAGGUUGGUGGAUGUGAACAUAAACUCCUCAUAUUUCCUACUGUUGCUUCCUGUAUAAAGGAAGAGUUGUCAGACAAUGAUACUCUUUCCAAAUCUGCAAUCUUCGUCGUUGUAAUGCCUCAGUCAUCAAUAGUAGAUAGUUGCUCAACUAUGCAAUAAGGAUUUUCCUCUCCUCACAGAUUGGAGGACUUUCACUUGACUCACUAGUGGGUUUUGCCUCGGGAAACAAGAAUAUGGAUUUGAGCAAGUCUGUUUUCCCAUGGGCCUACUACCUGCUAUUUUCAAAGCGUAGAGGACCCGCCUUUCUGAUCAAAGUAUGCUUCCCUUAUGGGCGAAACCACUGAAUCGGACGGAUCCUUUUUUCUUGGAUUGACCAGGCCAGCUUCUCCACCCAAUUCUUUUCUUACGAGACGAGAUAGGCACAGUGUCAGGGUCAUGUGAUGUGAAUGGUUUGUUUGAUCUGUUUCUUGUCCCUAUGGGUUCGAUUGGCAAUCAGGAUAUCGGUCGCUUGGCACUAGUCGAAUAGGCGAUUCAGUCGUGAUAGUGCCAUCCCUUGCCCCUUGGAGUGAGUUGAAAGCACUCUUCCAGCUCUUGAUUCGCGGAAUUCAUUACGAAGCAAGAUUUCAUUUCAUUUCCAUUUACGUCAUUAGCAAAACAAGCAAGAUUCACCUCAGGAUACGACGAAUUCUGGAACACUUCCUUGAUUGAUAUAUGCAUUUUCUAGAGCAGGCACCAUUGACUGCUUCUUCAACGUCUAUACUAUACGAGACGAGACGAGUUAUUGUACGAGUCAAGCUUGCUCCAGACCAAGCUCACUUUACACGGGCUUAGAACUCAACCUGACCCAACAAGAAAACGGAUAGACGCAGCGCAACGGCUUGAUAGCCUGACUCAGCAAGAGGCGAGGAUGCACGUGACUAACUAAAACAGCUUUCGCGCUAUCAACUUCUUUGAUCGAACCUGGCCUGGCGAUUGAAGCAUUCGAGAUAUAGAAGAAACUGCCCAAGUCAACCGGAUAUUCCAAAGCAAGGGUUAUGAAUCAAAAGAGAAGUGCCAGCUGGAUCUCUGGUUCAAAGUUCAGGGCAUGGAAUUGAUUCGUAUGCUCGUUCUCUCGCUGAGCAGAACCAUCUCUGUCUGAGAAGACCCAGUCUCCCAGUGUUUCUAGAAAAGGAAAUCCCAUUCGUCAACCUAAAUGGAAGGGCAGGUAAGGGAAGGCCAGCAGGAAAUUCAGUAAGUAAGGUAUCUCAGUGCCAGUGCUCUCCGGUUUCAAGUUGAUGCGGGCAGUCGUGGGGACAGGCAAAGCUGGGAUGCCUUACUAGCAGGAAUGAAAAGGUAUGUAUGAACCAACAAAGGUCAAGUAGACGAACACAUAUCCACUCCACUAGAGAAAGCGUCGAACCAGGGAAGAAUGAAUGGUUAGAACCAGUCAAGGGUGCCGUACUCAUGCCUACGGGGAAAGAGACUGAUCCGUAUCUGAUACGCCUUCACUUCUUUCGAGCUUCUUAUUCGAUUUCUUAAAUGACUUCUUCGGGCCUUACCCUAGACUACCUUCACUUAACUUAAUGCAGAAGCCAGAGUUCGAGGAAAGCGGUAGUUGGUUAUUUCGGGAUGAAUUUCUAUUUCUAAAAUGUGGAUGAACAUAAAUGGACGGAAACGAGAAAAAUGCAUAAUUCAUAUAAGUUCAUUCGAAAGAAUGAGGAUUCAUGAUGUCUCUUCCCAACCAUUCUUCCUGAGGAAGGCACCUCCGAUCGAGUCCUUAGCGCCAUGGAUAUUCUUCGCAGUGCCUUUGGAUGCUUCUCAGAAACCGCCUCUUUCCACUGGCUAUAUGAAAUUCCAAAUGAGACUUCCCUGCGUCGCCAAAGGAAUGGGAAACUUCUUGGUUCGAAACCUUUGAUCCUAUGCCGCCUGUCUGAAAAUAAAUAUAAGCAAGGCACCUAUGACUACGAAUCCGAAGGCCAAGCAUGCGGAUUUGACAUGGUUUCCCACUUUUCUCAGAGUCACUGGGCAAUAGAAAAGUAUACAAGCACAUUUCCAAUCUACAUAAAGAUACCAACCAGGUAUCUACUUCAAAGACAGGGCGUCGGCGAUCCUCUACUAUUAAGAGACAGAUAACAAUGGUGCCGACAGAGAUGGACAGAACUGCAGAGAAUACCUCUCCGGAGAAGUCCUUACAUGUCUCAAACUAAAUAAAUCCAACCUGCAAGAAGACACACAAAAAAGAAAAAUAUGAACUAUCCUCCACUGACAGCAAAAAAAUUGGCCGAAGUGAAAAGACUCUUGAAAAAGAGUCAGAUUCCUGAAUUGGAAUAUAGAGAAUACGAGUAUGAGGUUAGAUAUGAGAAAGAAAUGCGUGAAUUAGAAUUGCAGAAAGAUAAAAUUAAGAGCGAUUUCUUUAACUGUAAUUAUAACCCGAUCAGGGAGUCAGUUAGGGUAUCAACGGAUAGAGACCCUGAUUUAGAGGAUGAAAAAAGAGAGCAGCUAGGAGAGUCUAUGCAGGCUGAAUGGGAGAGACUAAGGCGGGGUGUAGAAGUCGGUACUUCAGAAGAUAUCAAUGUUGACACAGUCAAACGUUGGGGUUUGCAAAAUAAUAAGUACAACGCUGAACACUGGAUCCCUCCAGGGGGUCAGCGCACAGCUGAGGAUAUGGGAAAACUCUACCAAUUCUGGGAUGAAUUCAUUGAAACAUAUGAAAAUGAGGUUAUGAUGAAUUCGGGGUACAGGGAACCCUUAAAUAAAGAUAAAGUGUUUAAUACACUACUAGAUCAUUCUAAUAAUAAGACCAAUCAGACGGCUGAGGAAUUAAAAGGCAUUCAAACUAAAAUAGAACGUAUGACUAUGUAUUUUUAUGAGGCCAAUGUCUAUGAAUCAUUAGGUCAGUUGAAGAAUAAGUUCAUCAAUAUAGAUGAGCAAACAGCAAAGGAUUACCUUCUUGAUAAGUUAGAGAAACCAGACGAUCUAGAUAUCGUUAGAGCUAUGGGCACCUAUACACUGGAAUGUAUAGUUGUAUUUGUCUUAAGCAAGCAGUUUAAUGUGUUUGCUUUGGAGAAGGCUAGUGUUCAAGUUGCUACAUUGGUGAGUGAACUAGAUUCCGCAGCUAAGAUUGAGUAUAAUCGUAUAAUCGCUGAGGGUAGAAAGCGCAAAAAAGCUAAGCGGGGUGAUAAGCAGAUAAAUGAAGAUGAAAACAUCUUAUUGCAAGAUAAAGGUGUGGAUACCUUUAAUGGUGAUGUACAUUCCGAGCUGGAUAGAAAGAAAAAGAGCAUAUCAAAACAAACGAAUCGAAAAAGAGUUCGAAUCAGUAAACAUAAGGAGCCCGGUAUAGGGGAAGCCCUGUUUGGCUGGCUGGCUAGCAGGAAAUUGAUAGAAGUCAAAAAACCUGUUUUUCUCUUUGAUAAGAAGAAUAAGAAGCCAAAAAAUGUAAUAUACCCGGGCUAUGUAGAUUGUCUAUUUGACAUUAAAGAUCUACCCUUCUGUUCAACCUUACCUAUGGUAUACCCUCCAGCCGAUUGGGAAUUACGGCCCACCGCAACCGCGGAAGUCUCGGAUCCAUAUAUAACGAAUCUGACCCCUCUAUCGAGUUAUAGAGGUGGUUACCUCACAACCCUACAAAGGGAGAGUGGAGAUAGUCCGACUCUCUUAAGUGAAAAAGAUUAUGGUGUAUUUGACAUACAUAUCGAUCGCGAGAGAUCUCAACCAGUGUUGAGUGCUGUGAAGAAGCUUCAGCGGCAGCCCUAUCGAAUUAAUAAAUUAGUCUAUGAUUUUAUACAAAAACAUUGGAGUGUAUUAGUGUCCGUGGGGCUUCUCAGGCCGAAGAAUCUAGCUUUAUUUAAACGAAAGGAGGCGCUCAGGCUACUAUCUAGCCUUUUGUUUAAACACGAGGAGCUUUCAACGAUUUAUCGAUAUAGUGAGUUGAAAUCUGUAUUGUUAAAAAAUAUACACGCGUCAACCUUCGAACUAUAUACUAUGAAAAUAGCUGAGGCUUAUCUAGAUUAUAAAAUCUAUUUUCCAAUCUUUCUGGACUUCAGGGGGCGAAAUUACCGCCAUGGACCCUUCCAUUUCCACGAACGUGAUUUAGUGAGAUCACUCAUCAUAUUUGAUGAAAGUGAUGACUCAGCAGCACAUACUAUAAAUAGUGAUGAUGAGGAUAGAAUCCUCCAUAAUUUCCUUAUAUCAGCGGCAUACCAUAAAUCUAAAUUUGGUGUAUACCAAGACGCUAUGGAGUUUAUCUCUAAAAUAAUACCAGAUAUGGUAAGUAAACCUACAUUCUUUGAAAAAGAUAUCUUUAUGGAUACACUGUGCUGCAGGCACCCAUUUCAGUAUAUAUCAUCAUGUAUAAGUUUGAAGACGUACGCGGAUACAGGAGACUUGUCUGUGCUGCGAUACACACCAGUAUCCCAAGAUGCCUCAGCAAGUGCUUAUCAGAUGAUGAGUUACUUUUUGUUGGAUAUUGAUUAUGGGAUACAUACAAAUCUUUUAAAAACCCCAAAUACGGAUGGCAGAUAUAUCAGGGAUAUAUAUGAAUUCAUGCGGGAUUGUUUAAUAAACUAUCUCAUCGCUGAAGAAAAGAUAGAACUAGUAAUUAAACUACUUACACGUAAUGAAAAAGAUCAAGAAAGUGUAUUAGCUAAGAUUGUUAGUAUAUUUGAUCGCAAUGUGGUAAAGAAAAUGUUUAUGCCCAUGAUGUAUGGGAAAACCGAUUAUACCUUAAAAAAGGAUGUUGAAGAUCUAUUAAAGGGUAAGUCGGAUUCCGAGGGAAUAAACCUAAUUUCAAAACAUAUUUCUACAUAUUGGAAAGAGAAUUUUGGAAAAAUGAAAGAUCUUAUGGAUCUUAUCAAUUAUGUUAGCUGGUUUGGAGCAGGACAGGAUAAACCGGUGGUAUAUAGUACGCCGUACUGGGUAACGCUGCAAACAUAUAAGCGGCGUAAACGCGUAAAAAUGAAAAUACAGUAUGAAACAACCAAAAAUAACGAAAAGGAGGUUAAAACAACAUCGGCUAAAAUGCUUGUACCGUUAAACGAUAACGAUAUUAGAAAGAGCUCAACCUCAACCUUUGCCAACUUCAUCCAUCAAAAGGAUGCAUUUACUGCUAUCCAGCUUGUUGAGUUUAUCAAUAAACUCGAGAAUGCUUCCUCAAUUCCUAUAUACGCAGUACAUGAUAAUUUUAUAACUAUGCCUGAAUAUGCUUGGAUUUUGCCGACCCUUUAUAGGGAAUCAAUCUUUCGUAUGGGGCACCCACUCAUCAUAAUAAACAAAUUUUUAUUUGAUCAUAUACUUCUACCUGCAAUACAAAACGAACAUCCUAAAGAUAAACACUUCUUCUCCGUGGAAGAGCGCUCUAUGUUAUAUCGUAUGAUGAUUGAUUUACAGAAUCCAUUGAUUCCCGAUUUUGGAAGUGUUGAUAUUACUAAGGAUAGAAUCAAAUCUAUAGUGAUUCCGAAAGAUCUUCUUCUUAAGUGCUUUUCAUGUUUAUGGAUGAGUAAAACUAAAAAAAUAUCUUUAGUUAGAUGGGAAUCUUGUCGUGAUAAAAUCAUCAAGGUAUACAUGAGGUAUACUGAUGAUAUCUCUUCAGAUGAAGGGGUUAGUAGAUGGUUGGAAUACAAGAAGAAUCUUGACUUAGCUAGUGAUCCUGUAUGGAGUUGUGAUAAUACUAAUGGUACUCAGGCGGAUUCGCUUGAUAAAGGCGAGGAUGACUACUGCAUCCAUUAUUAAAUGUUGUUUUACUCAACUGAUUCCCUGCAGCUUUCUCAGCAUAAAACAUAUUUUAUAUCCCGGUUUAGUAGGUAUAUACAAAUACCGAGGCCACCACUACCAACUACUUGGUAGCCGUGUGGGAAAGAAGUGUGGGAAAGUGGGCUUCUUUCGCUGUGAAUACAGAUGUUUCUCCCCCCUUGAGACAGGGAAAACAUUCAAGAGCUUAUUUCAUUAUUUCCAUUUCUAUUUAGUGAUGUAUAAAGCGUAUAGCGUAGAUUUAGCGUUUGAUUAUUUCAAGUUGAAAUGAUAUUUGUCAUGAUCAAUACAUAUCACUAAAGAUUGAGUUUUUAUUAACCUUUCGUUAUAACCCUAUAUUUCCGGGUGUAAGUUCAGGAAGAGAAGAGCUAAUCUACUAGCUGGAGAUGAGUAGCGAGUUGAAAAAAGAUCGAUCAGUCCUCUAAGAGCCGAGUAGCAUCAUGGUAGAUAUCUUCUGCGAGGUAGGCUUUCCUAUCUGCCGAGUAGACCUAUCUAGCUUUACCUUCGCGGGUAUUCUUACAAUAGGGAUACCAUGAUCAAAUGUCUUCUGAAUUCCACACCUCAAGGCAGCCAUCCUCAUGAAGGAUAAGAGCUUUGUCAUUGUUGUCGGCCAGUAAUAACCCAUCGGACGACCACUUAAUAUCUACACUAUAUAGAUCUAGUACUUCUAAUAUGUUAUCUAUGUCACAAUCGUCGAUUGUGAAUUCGUCAGUUUGUUUACAAAGAAUAAAUAGUUCAUGACCGUAUCGACUAUAGGUGAUCCCCGGAUACCGAGACUCGAGCAAGGAAUCUACAGUAUUCUGAUAGAAAUUAUGCAAUAUAACGUGUGUUAUUUCACCUAUAGGUGUUAACCCCGUGGAGGGGAAAAAGCAGUGAUUAUGAAAGUCAUAGAUAGGGAGAUCUAUAAUCCGUUCAACCAGAUUGAAAUAUACUCCAUAUUGGUUUGUAAAUUUCUGGGAUGUUAAUAUACGCGAAGUAGGUAUAUAAUUCAUACAAUCACUCAAAUCAAUACUAACGACUUUAACGACAUUUUCUUGUCGAUUCAAGAAUGCGUAAUGCAUGGCUUUCAGAUCUUUGAAUUUAGAAAUGUUAGGCUGAGCUUUAAUAACUGUUGUUAAAAUAACAUUAGAUAACCCCUUCAAUACAAGUAGGUCCAUAGGAACUCUACACUUAUACACUCCUAUAAGACUAUGAGUAUCCAGAUUCCUUUCAUCCAACCAUAAAUAGCCCUUCGAUGCUUCCAUACGAAUCACAUCAUAGAUUAAAGGCGGAAUCUCCUUAAUAUUUAUUUGAUAAUAAACAACGGGACCAAAACGGUAUUUACCUGUUAAGUUCAAUUGAUUUAUGAAAUCAUUAAUCAUGAAAGGCAGCACACCUCGAACCCUCCAAGAAUCGUUAUAGAUAGAUCGUACUUCCUGUAUUGGAAGGGUUAUUGGAUUGAACAAUGAGGAAAACCCGGAAUAUGCUUUCGGCUGGGUAGGAUUGGAAAGUGCAGUAACGGGUUGGAAAGUCAAGGCAAGUCAAGGUAGUUGUUCCAUCCUUGAGGGGUCUGUCUUCCGGCACUUUUGGGCUUAUGGCGCAGGGCCAACCAGGGCAACUAGAACAAGUCUUUAUUCCUCGCUUAGGUUGCAACACAAGUACAGGUACAAGUGAAAGAGAGGUCUAGUACGGGUUGCCCAUUGCAGUAUUGGAACCAUCCUCGAAGGGAAGUGGAGUAAUUAUUCGUAUCUUUUAAAGAUUAGUAUAGCUUUCUCACGUAUUCCCCCGAGUGCCUGCAUUUCGACAAAGUAAUAAGUAAAAAGUAGUUGGCAGGUGAGGUUCCAUCGUAUCUUGUUUAUGCUCGAUGCCUUGAAGUGCUCUCCGAAUUCCGGCACUUUUCUAGCGGACAAGACUGGUUGAGGUAGCUUGUAGAAGUCUAGUAAAUCAGGAAGUUUCCUGUAGCGGUAUAGGUUCAUAGGCAGGCCUUGAAUGGAAAAAGUCUCAUUAAUCAGCUCUUUGGUUUCCAGUAGUGGAUAUCGUUCGUUUAGGCCAUGAAUUUACUCGGGUAAGCGCGAGGUUGCUCGGUUUCCUCAAACAACUCUAACCACAGCCCAACAAAAAAAACCACUGUUUUUCCUUUGAAAGCAACUUACCGAAUAACUCCUUUUCUCAAUAUCCGCUUAAGGGUCUACCCCCCAUGCAGAGAAGUAAAGUGAAGUAAAUGCGGUUGUAAUGUGGCACUUUUGGUUGGAGGAGAGCGAAAGACAAGAUCUCUAUUCGUUGAGGUAUCGGUAUCGGUAGUAGUAGGCUUAUGGGAAGACUGUUUAAUCCUAUAACGUAGCCAUCCCUACCCUGCUGUAGAUACGGUAACGGGUCCUCGUCAUCGAUAUCCAUCCCAAGAACGGAAAACGGAUCCUUUCUAUCGGAAGGGACGAGCAAAUACGCAAUAUACUCGGCAUCCGAUGGAGGCUCUACAAGAGUUGAACUUACACACCUUUAUGAUACUAGCCUUUAGGCCACAGCAAGCUUCCACUCCUCAACCUCCCUAAACUCUACUUACUACUUACUCUAAUAGGAGUUGACUUGCUUUUGGAGUUCUUACUGGAUAUGAAUAGAAGUUAGGGCAUGGCAUUGACAGUGGUACUAGGGAAUUGGUAUAGAUAGCUACAGUAGCAGUUGUAAAGACUAGGGCUUGCUUUUGUAGGUAGUAGUCUUGGGACACGCCGGCAAUGGGUAUUUUGAGCUGCAGCAAUUGGAUGUCAAGACGACCAUAGAGAUUUGAGCUGUAAACACAAGAAGUAACCGACACAUUUUGAGUUGGGUUGAGUAAGCUCUAGCUCGCAGUUCCUCAAUAAUAGACUUGCACCUGGGAGAAAGGGAUAAAAUGGAUCAGGUUGAAUGCAUGGAAUUGGCACUCAACAGGAAAGCGAAACUAACCUUUCACUCCCCACUCUUUCCUAUCCUCGUAGAAAGUCCUUUACACGCCGGGCAACCGGACCAAAAGGGCCGCUUUCCCGUUGCUGUUUGCGCUAAACUUGGUUUUGAUCCUUGGUUUUUGUUAGCUCCCGAGCCUUUACUUGUCAAAGCCUUCGCUCUUUGUUCAAAAGCGCGGAUGGAUCUAUGAGGCUAUGUGUGGACUAUCGCUCUCUCAAUGAAGUGACAAUCAAGAAUAAGUAGCCAUUGCCCAGGAUCGAUGAUUUGUUUGACCAAUAUCAGGGUGCGUAUCAGCUAUUCCAUGGACUUCAGGUCUGGGUAUUCUCAAAUGAAGAUUCGGCCGUGUGAUAUUCAUCAGAUAUCUUUCGUGACGAGAUGCGGGCUCUACUUAAGUUAAGUGAAGUUCGGGUCAUUCCAAUACCAGUUUUAGGGCUGGCCUUCCCCGCAACAAGGAUGUGAACUCAGACAAGCAAGAAAUCUCAGAGGAUGCGCUAACGCUAUACGGCUUUCAUGCUAGAAAUCUAUCUAUAUAAUGAUAAUGCGAGCCGAGCAUUUCACCCUAUCUACUCACGGCAGUGCAACCUAUCAACCGGGAAAGGUCACCGUAGACUAAGCUGGCGCACCUUACAAGAAUGACAAGACAAACUCUUUACCAGCAUUCCUGAUACCGGCACUGCCCACUAAUCUCGAUCUUGAGAAUCACUACCCUCUCUCUCUAGCUAGCUAUCCCUCUCUCUCUAAGUCUCGGCUUUUAUAGCCAUAGCCCGAUUACAGCAGCUGCAAUUCUGUAAACGAAAUGUAAAGCAAGAGAGGAAGCGUAAACUGAAAACGUAAACUGGUGGUAAAGUAAAUGGAAUCAUGGCCGUUGGAUGCUCUUCAUCGACGGUCCUCGAUUCUUCUCAUGACAGGCCAGGCCUCCCCUCUUGAAGCAAUCCUUGUCCUCAUCCUCAACUCAAGGAUAUCGUUCUGGGAACCAAGCCUUCAGCGUUGCAUAGCAUAGUCGAACUGUGGAAAAGAGCUUUGAAUGAAACUGCAAUCUUCCCAAGUUGAGUCUUCUGCCGCCAGAUUAAUUUGAUCCUCCAUUGAGAUUUCACCACCAUACCGUCAGAAACAGAACGAGUGCUCAACACUGCAAAUGGUUCCGUUUUGAUCAUCUGAGGUGACCAUAGGAAGUGGGAACAGCUUUAGGCCCAAGAUGCUUCUGAAAUUGGCUCACAUGGAAGACUGGGUGAAUCUGUGCAGUGUGAGGCGCAAGGCUGCUGGACCAAUUUUCUGAAGAAUAAGAAAGAUAGAACUUUCUAGCUAGCUUCGUUCCUGACCCCAGAAUUUUCCUGUAUGGCUGUAGCUUAAGGUAGACCAUAUCACCGCAAAGAUCUCUCACUUCUGUGUUGAUCUGCAAAUUUCCCGGGCUUGAGCUCAAUUUUCCUUCCGCGCCGCAAUCAUUUGCUGUUUCUCAGCCAAGAAUUCAGCAGCAGGAGAUUCUGGCCCUGGGACCAUCACUUCACUGAUUAAGGGUUCCGCCAUACAUUGAAAGGGGGUACAUUUCUGUGAGGUAUGAUAGUCUUAUACCACCGCUCUGCCAGAGGCAACCAUGCAUUCCAUUUCCUCGGUUCAUAGGAAAGAAAGCCCUUCUCGUUAGUCUUCUCGUUAGUACAGCAGAAGAGAAGAGAGCCGUAUCACAACAACAUUCGCUUCAUCCAAGCCAACCUUAUUAGAAAGCCGUCUAGCGCAUCUGGCACUUGUAAGUAUCUGCAUCCGAGUCACUCUCCUCAUUGGCGGAUCUGAAUCUGAUCAAAGUAUGAUUCUCUAGGGUCAACGUAUAGGGUCAAAAGUCCUACCUGCUCUCAAUCCGGAUGUUCUUCCUCUGCUUCUCCCUUUCUUUCCCUUCGCUGUUGUCCGAGAAAUCAAUCCUCUCUUCCCCGAAGAGAGUCUUCCUCUACAGGAAAGCAGUGCUUUUCUUUUCUAUCCGUGACUUAUCUUUGACCUACCUUGCUUCUGCUUCUACUUGACCGGUGCUUGCUUAUUAGAUCCUAUCCACGCUAAAGAAACAGGAAUCAGGAAGUUGUUUCUUUCAUUUAUACCUAUGAUAUCCACGCUAAAGAUGAGUGCCUUCUUUUCUUUGACAGUUCAUAUCAGCUAUCCCAUCUCUUUCUUGCUCGGUGAAAGGAAUAUCACUAUCCCAUAUAUAUAUCUAUUUCAAGAAAUAUCACUAUCCCAUCUCUUCUAUUAGUUCUAGUUACUGACCCUCGAAUACUGUGCUUUCUUACCUAGCUAUUAUGCAUAAACCAGUGCUGCUAAAACACCUAGUCCUUACUUCUAUUGAGACUCUACCCUUGCAUGAAAAACACUGUCUUGAAAAAACGACUUGCUUUUUGAAACUAUACAUCAGACUUUAAGGCAUUCAGAAAAAUCCAGUAUCGACAGGCCUAGUUCUUUUCCUUUGCUUAUGCAGGGCAAGAAUUUGUAGAGUUCAAUCAGUACAAUAAGAAAUAAAAAGUAUUUUGUGGGUCAGGCGACACCCAGAUUUGAACUGGGGAUAAAGGAUUUGCAGUCCCCUGCCUUACCGCUUGGCCAUGCCGCCAAAAGAAAGAAGAGAAAGAACUGGGAGUUGGCGCCUACAUAACAGGUAGCUUGCUUACCAAGCCGUCCUGGCAAGCUCCUACAGUUCUCUUAUUAUUCUUGACUUGACUUAUUAAUAAUAAAACUACUCACUAACAAAAUGAAAGACGAUCUAGAAUCUACCCAAGAAGAUAGAGAGUCCCACAUACGAGAAAAGGUCACAAAUGGAGUUGAACCAAGUAACAUUGCAAAGGCAUAAUGAUAGUAGGGUCGGGAUAUCCCCGCCCUCCGAACCGGACGUGAGGGUCUCCCCUCAUCCGGCUCUCCGCAGGGGAAUCUCCACUCACUGCUUCCCCUAAUAUCCUCCCUCCCUUUACCACAUCAUGGGGGUUUACAGGAGAUCCCAGAGACUCGCUCGGAAAGGCUGCUAUACCAAACAUUAUUACUUAACUACAAAGAAAGAAAAGACUAUAGUAGUCACUAGACUGACUAUAGUAGUCCGUCCGGCUGCUCUUGCUUAAAUCAUUACUCUUCAUUCUCCCGUGCUCUAGCAAUUGCGCUCCCUAGACCACUACCAUUUAGUUAGGUAGGGACAAUCAAUCAAUCCAAUCCAAUCCAAUCCAUAGUUACGGGAAUAACGGAAUGCAUGGGGAUCCAAAAAAAGAGAAAAAUGAAUAUUUUCUAUGAAAUCCUUUCUUUCCAUAGAUGUAUCUGGUCUGAGACGGUACAGUACUCUAUGAGAGGAAUGCAAUGGGAUGGAUGGUAGAGGGCUGCCUGCGCCCAAAAGCGAUGAUUCACUUGUCCCCUUGUCUAUAGGGACCUUGUGGCAUACAACCGCCACGACUCCUGCGUUAUAGCCGCCCCUUUCUCUCUUUCUUUUGACUGCCUCGUGGACGGACGAAAGAAGGGAAGUUACAGAAGGGGGCAGUGAAGGCUCGCCAAGUAGACAGCAAGCCCCCACCCCGUCAGUCCUGUGUUGCCGUAGCGUGCCCUACUUCAAUAAGGUAUUACCUCGCCGAUUUGAAAGGGGAUUGGAUUCAUUCACUUGCAUUCCUGCUAGCACUACAAAAAGCUCCGGUCUUAACGACCCUACGGAAGCUGUGCAGCCUUUCCUCGGGUUCGUAGAGUCGGGUUUCCCGUUUACCCACAACGGAGGAGCCGCCCCCACCAACCAAAGCAGGUAGGCGGCCACGGUUCAUAACGCACUCUUCGCACAACAGAUCCACUUUGAAGUUGACUUAUUCGCUCGGCCAAUCGUCGGAAUGUGUACGAGAUACCAUAAGGGCCCAAUAUCUCAAUAGCACCCUUGUCUAAAGCUUCGAAUGAGACUGAAUAUCCGAAACGCAGGAACGAUCUGACUAGAAAGUCAUUCAAAACUUGAUCGAAGAACCAGCGUUUAUUGAAGAAGCUAUAGAGUCGAUUACAAAAAGUACUAGUUUGAAAGGCUCGUUGGAAUUGAUCCGCUACGAGAUUUACAUUAUACGCUAGAGAAGCACCUGAAGUACUAAACAGAAUAGGUAUUAGUUUUGUAAUGGUUGGAGCAGCAAACUCGGAUUCGGCAAGAAUCUCAUUUUUUGGUAGUACGAAGGGGGAAUUGGCCCAAAAAUUGGAUAGGGGUAAAGACGCAGCCGGGUGCCGGCGGCUUAUUCAAGUGCCCCCCGAACCGCGCGAAAUGGUCGCCUAUUACACGGCUCACAAACUCUGCCUGGGGUGGGGCUACCUAUUAUUCGUAGGCGGUACGUACGGCGCACGCAGGGCCUCGGUUUGCUGCGUGGACUGUCUAUGCAUUUCCUACAGAGUGUAAUGGAACCCAGCUCAGCUCCGCCGAGCCAAAAGGAAAGAACAGCCGGAGGCGAAGAGUAGAGUAUAGCCAAGGGGCUGGCUUUCGUCGUCCGUAAAGGACCUAACGGAAGACCGUGCUCCGAAGUGCACUGAGAGUUUUGUUUUAAGAACACUUGGCCUUACCCCUUCGUUUUGAGCCAUGUCUAGGUGGCAGAGUGUUGAUCCUCACCCGCCCGUAAGCGGACUCUUUCGACAGAAGGUUGCAGAUGGAAAAUUCCCGCUCUGUAGGUCGUCAAGCAUUUGAUGCAACCUAGCCAAGUGUUCUUCACCAGUGGCCGUACGGGGGUUGUCCAGGGCCCGCGCCCCCCGUCCCAUCCAAUCGCCACUUGGAUGCAGGCCCGCCAUCUUCCGGAUUAUGUCAACCUUGACCUCAAAUAGGUCUUCGGCUUGAAUCCGGGCCAUUCUUAUGUCAUGGGCUGAAGGAUUCCAAUUAGUCCCCAACAGCCGCCUCUGAAUGGAUUCUACGCUAUCCCCUCCUAUUAUUUCAUUUAGUUGAUGGGGGUAGGGGACGUAGGGCGGAGCCCGAUUAGCUGCUUCCUGCAUAACAGGAAGAGCGGGAGGCGUAGCUUGUUCCCCCUGAAGCGGUUGAUUGACCGACGAGGUGGUACUUCUACUACGCCCGGAACUGGCCGAAUCCUCUACCAAAUAGGAAUCGGAAGUAUAAGUAAAUAAGGCCGAAUUGGAGGAUUCGGCUGCUCCGUGCAUCAUGUAAUUUGCCAUGGAUAGCCCCCCUCCGGUAGCGAGGAAGAAGGCCCGUAGAGCGAAUCCAACGGCCAUGAUGAGAGUCACGGAGGAGCAGCCAUUCCGAAGUAAGAGCCUGACUAAGGCUUCCUUGCUCAGUGAGUAAGCAAGUCGUAAGACCAGUGCGUCCCCCCCAGUAAGACAAAAAUAGAAGAGAUGAUAAAAAAGAUAAAGAAGGAAAAGAGCAUUUUUCUUUUCUUCAUAUCCAUUCCACUAAAUCUCAUCUCAUAGUUACUCUAAACUUUGAAGCUCAGCUCUGCUCCCAAAAGAGAAAGGAGACUGAGAUAGGGGUUGUCCUUGGUUUUUCCAAGGAAAGGAAAUUCUUUUGAGAACCUGAUCAUAGAGGAGCCAUAUGAAGCUAAGGUUUUUGGAAUAGCGGUGGGCUGGUAACGUAAUAAGGGAAAGGAAGCUAGCUGCUUCCAUAUCGCCCCCCCAAAAUAACCAAUAAGUUCCAGAGGCAUCUUCCAUUCAUUUAGAUUUUGGUCUUUCUGCGCCAUAUUUAGAUCUUCCCUUUCUACGAUCCGGAAUUCCCAGCAAAUCCUUUACUCCUCGAAUACGAUGGGAUUUCACACCUGGCGAAUCUUUCACUCUACCCCCUCUGACUAAGACUAUAGAAUGUUCCUGCGAAUUAUGACCUUCGCCUGGAAUGUGAGCAAAUAUAUCAUGUCGAUUGCUCAACCGUACUUUUGCUAUCUUACGUAGAGCUGAAUUAGGUUUUUUCGGUGUUCUCGUCGAAACACGCAGGCAUACUCCUUGCUUCUGGGGACAUUGAUCCGAAGCUCGAGUACGGUCCGUGCGCCGUUUUUCUUCUCUACCAUGACGAAUCAAUUGAUUUUUUGUAGGCAUCCCUCUUUCCUAUGUCCUUCCCCCCUUAGCCCUUUCACUAGUGGUUACUCCCGAUCCGAAGCACCCCUUUUCCAUUCAUAGAGAGAUCCAAUCGUCAAAAUCAAUAAAAAGGCCAUCAUGGACCAAGAUCCAAACAGAUCAAUCUUGUUAGGAGGUACUGCCCAAGGAAAAGAAAAGGUGACUUCCGGGUCAGGGAUAAUAAAUAAAAUAGGAACCGGAUAAAAUCGUAUAUCGAAACGACUUCUGGCAUCACCGGAGGGAUCGGAACCACAUUCGUAGGCCGACAAUUUUUCUGGAUAGGUCGAACUAUUGGAAGCAAAUGGAAAAGGAACACCGAGUGGAAUCAAAGAAACUAGCGGACUGAUCACUAAAUAGAUACAAAUAGGUGCAAAUUCCGACAUCACCAAAGCCCACUUCGUUCUCUCGCUCUCCUCGCGGCGCUCCUUGCUCGCGGAGCGGCAUACCGAAAAAAAAAGACGCUCAGAUGUGGAUUCGAACCACUGAAGGAUUUCAAGGGCAAUGCCCCUUGCUCUUCCCACUGAAACAAGCAAAAAAGGAUUUUAAGUCCUUUGCUCUAACCAGCUGAGCUACCAGAACCACUUGCCUAAAGUCUCUUUUCUUCAUCUAUGAGCAUCCUACCCGCAGUGGAGGAGCUUGCUCAAGAACCGAGAGCCGCCCAGGGACUGGACGGCCCUCGUUCGGGAAGGUCUUCUUCGCUAUAGACGCCACCAAGAACAAGAAAGGGGCGCUCCGCUCCUAGUCACUAAGUAGUGCUAUUCUGUCCGACGGCGGACUCCAUCAAUCUGAGGUUCUUUCUCUCACGUAAUUUCGCCCGCCCGUUCAACCGGAGGAAAUGGGAUUCGAACCCAUGAUACAAUCUUCUUGUAUGUCGAUUUAGCAAACCAAUGCCUUAAGCCACUCAGCCAUACCUCCAUCCAAGUUGUUGAUCGGAAUUGGAUGUGCCGGUUGCCCGAAGAUCCACUGCGUAAGCCGUAGCGCGCGUACUCUUCUUUACUGAGCGAGAAAGACUCUAUCCAGAUCUCCCCAGCGUCCAAGCGAGACGAGACCCCAUCCAAACCAAAUCCGCCACUCGUUGCGUUGGGCGAGGCCUUGCUUUCUAUGAACACCUCACCACUGAAUGAUAAACUUAGCCUCCGACCCAGAGAAGACAGGGUCAAGCCGACGCCGCCCUUCCUCACCUGCCUGAAUGGAAUGAAUAUCUCCUUCGUCUAGUCGAGAAGGGAAAAAGCCCGGCGGGGAACUGGACCGUGACUCUUCUAAACCAUUACAUGACGGAGAAGUCCAUUCUCGUCAUGAUCGAUCCACGUCCUACCAUAGUGCCCGGAGAACCAGGCUUGCUUAGCUUACCAAGCUAGCUUACUAAGCUAAGCGCGAAGGAAUUUUUCUAAGAUGGCAGAGCUAGCCAGAAGGUAGCCUAGCUUGCUUCCAGAAGAUUCUAUAGUGAUCCACAGGAAUCGGUCUCGGGCCUCCCUAGUCGUCGAAAGAUUUCAUCCCUCGGUCGUUAAGGAGCAAGAGGAUGCGCCUAGCGCUAGUUGCUCAAUCCGUUGCUUGUUUGGUUCGAGGUUGAGCUCACCCGCCGCCCUACGUCAGUAGUCUUCCUAACUUCUAUUCCCUUUUUUUGCUCUACUCUAAGGUAAGGUCCUUCAAGAACAGCAUUGCGGUCGCAACGGGGCUCUGGGUGAAUAUUGUCCGCCCGUAUGAGCCGGGCUGUGAAUAUUUAUAGGUCGGGGUCUUUACUGAAAAACCACAAUACUACACUACACUACAACAAUUUUAAGAAAUCCGCAAGUGACUAUAAUUUGAAUUCACUAGUCGUGUUGAGUUGAGGCUUAUUUCAAUAUAACAAAUCUGCCAAUCCCGAUAUUCCCACAUUUCAUUCUGGUCCAGUGUCCAUUCCUGAAUGAAAGAAAUGAGCUUUUUUGCCCCUUCACUCACUUCUGAAUGACUCCUUUAGCACUCCCUUUUUUAUAUAAAAAAAUAGAUACAGUUUACCUUUACCAUACCUUCCAACCAAGCAAGAGUGUUUUUUGCAAGCUUUUUAUAGCCGCUCUUCCUAG
rnacentral:lncRNA from 1 species